AUGAUUCAUCAACUGCAUGUAUGCAAAUUAAAGCAAGAUGUCCUUUCCAUAUAUACAUGGUUCAUAAAGGAAAUUCUGAAGUGCAGGAAACAAAAUGAUUUUUAUGGAAAAAGCCAAAGAAACGGAGAGCUGAUAAAAUGAAAAACAACGAUAAAUUAGUCUCUGUUUACUGUGUUUACAAUCAAGUGACUAAUCCGGUACCGAUUUACUUCCUUUUUGUCAACGUUUUGUCUAAUUUUUAUUAUCUGAAUAUCACUGCUAAAUUGUUAUGUACCUGACAGAAACCCCACUCUUUACAUGCACGGUCAAGCUUCUCAAGCUCUGAGUCAUCUCCAGAGAGCAACUUGUGCAUAUCAAUGACUGGAAGUUGUUGUGCUGAAGAAUCGUCGGUGCGAAUCAAGGGAUGGUCCAUCUCAGGGCGAACAUAACGUGGAGGAAUUGUGAUCAGUGGCUUAUUAUGUGCCAGCUCCAGAAUCGAAGGCUCCACGAGAGAACUCCUAAUAUCUGUCGCUUCUGCCUCCAUAUUAUAUAGAUUUCGAUUAUCUGAUUUCUAGCUAUUUCUUUCUUUUCUUCUUCCCUCUCCUGCAGACUCAGCUGGUUUGUGUUUAACAAGAAACUCAUAUAUAAAUAGUCCUUUGGAUGUACUGUAAUCCACUUAGGUGUAAUAAAAUAAUUAUUUUGUUAUAAAAAUUCAAGAGGAUCCUGACUUCUGACUUCUGUCUUGAUAUGAUCAUAUGUAGAGCAAAUAAUUUAGGUGUUGAUUAGUAGAUAAUGAAUUAAAAAAAUAAAGAAGUUAAAUUUUAUCUUUACACUAUCACUAAAUGAUAUAUGACUGGAGAUCUUAAAGCUUCAGUAAAGUUUAGAUUAGGGCUAGAUAAAUAAUCCGAUUCGACCCAACUAAUCCAAAAAAUAUCGGGUUCAGUUCGGAUCGAAUUAUUAACCUAAUUCAAUCGGUGGUAGAAACAAACCUGAUUAGAUCGUGAUCGGAUUGGAUUAAACCCAAUCCACUCUGAAAAUCCAAUAGGGUUGGUCCCUUACAAAAAAAAGAAAAAAAAAGGAAAAAAUGAGCUAACCUAAUUGAUCAUUUCAAUUUACAAGCACAAAGUACAAACAAGCGAACAUCGUGGUAUCCUUUUCACACACAGAGCACAAUGGCACUUCACACACACAACACAACAUAGGGGCAGCACACCACACAUAGUCACAUACGCAGUGGCAGCCGGCGGCACUCACCAAACAUAGCAUGGCAGACGGCAGUCAUGGCAGAGCAAAGCAGCCCUAAUGCGAUCCGUAACUUGCCUACGCAUGCUGCUGUCAUGUACCACGACUGCUGCUGCUGGUUGAUCCAUUCGCCACCACGAUUGCUGCUGCACUCCGAUCUGCUGCUCUCCACCGCUAAAUGGUUUGCCUUGUAAGAAACCUAAAAGAUUUAAUUUAUCCCUAAGAUAUUGUAUUAAUUUCUUCUUGUUGUACCAUAUAUAUUUGGACUGGGUUUGAGUUUAAUUUUUUUCCAACAAUUCUUUUCUUUGAUUGGCAAAAUUUGAUAUGAUAUAUUAGGUAAAAUUCGAUUAAUCAUCCAAUUAACCUAAACUUUUGACCCGAAUUUUUUAUUCGAUUCGAUUUGAAUAUAUUCAAAUUGGUUUAAUUCAAUUCAAUCCAAAAAUUAGAUCGGGUUGAUCAAAACUCGAUUUAUAUCCAGCCCUAGUUUAGAUCAAGAGAAGAUCCCAUUCCAUUUAUUAAAGGGUACACCAUUCAACAUUAAGACAAUUGAAAUAAUGUUAGGGUUUAUUUGUUUUUAUAUCUAAAGUCUUAAUUGGGCUUAAUUUAAGACGUUAUUAUUAGACAUUUUUAUCUGAAUAAAAUAAGUAAAAUUUCACUUUUAUCUGAAUUAAUAAAAUGUUUGAAUGGAAACUCAACUUUUUUUCUCCCAAAUACCCUCAUUAGAUGUAUUUAUUUUCUACUUACCUAUUAGAUGUCAUAUCACAAAUUUCCUUGAUAUCAAAUUUUACUUCGUAUUAAGUAUUUAACAUACAUUUAUUUUGAAUUUUCAAAAAAUUCUUUUAUAAUUAGAUAACAGCUUUUUUAUGUAUAAAUAUUAUGUUAAAUUGUAAAAAUUAAUGUUAUCAAAAUUAUUUUUCAUAAAUUAAAUAUGAGUUACUUCCCUUGUAAAUAUUUAUAACAUAUAAAAACUAUUGUACUAGAAAACAACGUAAAUAUAUAUCUCUUUAAGCUUCAAGUAUAUAUAACACUUUCAAGGUCAUCAGUGUAAAAAUAUUAGAUUUAAAAUGUUUUGAGUUUAAUAAGUACAAACAACUUACCACUUACACCUAGAUGUCAAAAAAUAAAAAACAAAUAUAUUAUUCUGACAUAGGCAUUCAGACCCUUUCAAACUUUAGCAACAUUCAUACCUAUUUCAGAUUUAAGAUAAAAGAAAAAAAAAAAAGAUCGCCAACUUAAUGUUGGGCUAUUUGCAAUCUAGAUUUUACUUUGAGUACCACUUUAUUCUGUACUCUCAUUCUCAUUUAAUAAAUUUUAAAAAAUAAUUUUACUGAGCACAUUCUUUUAAAUACCAAAAUAAUCCUCCAUUUAUAUCUUACAUCUCACCCAAUUUAAUUCUUUACUAAGAAAAUGAGUCUUACCCAAAAUAAUCCUACUAUCACUUGUAUCAAAUCCUAAUGCCAUUAUAGAUUUCACAGUGGAAUAGUAGUCUUAUCCAUGUAGUGUCACAUUGUGUGGUUUAUCUUUAGAUUGGUACUAAUCCCACUAGAUUGGCAUUUUGAAAUAUAAAACCAGGCUGACCACACAAACUUGUGUACUCGAUUUUGUUUGGGUUUUUUCCUCCACGAGUGUUACGUCGUAAAACAGCAAAUUAGAUAUAGACAAAUAUAAACAAUGAAAAAAAAUAGACAAUUGCGCCUAUCAAGUUCACGUGCCCAAUCAUAAAACUUACGAAACUAUUGGGAUAUUUUAUUGUUGAUCGGUCCGCAUCGUUGGUAGAAAUCACGAAAUUUAGAAGAGGACCAUGGCUUUUCAAAAUGCAUUAUUAAUUUAAGUCCUUUAAAUUUAAAUUCAUUUUUGUUUUAUCCAAGUAAUUGAAUAAGCACUCAUUUGGGAUUACUAUUUUGACUUAAAAAUAAUUUUAAAAUAUCAAAAUUUAAGUUUUGUUUGGUAAUUUUUUUAAAAGUAUUGGUAAAUCUAAUUUUGAGAACAAAUGUUAUACUUAAUACAAUUUUAAAUAUAUUCUUACAUAAAAUCAAAAUUAUUCUUAAUUAAUUAAAAAAUAAAAUAAAAAAUUCAAGAUCACUAUUAUUUUUAUUCAUUUUUUUCUUCAUGCACGCUUUCUACCCCAAUUCUUCUUCUUUUGUUUUUCUAUUCCAUCAAUAAUUCUCUAAUACUGCAAAUAUCAUUCCUGCAAGAUCAUCACUGAGUAUGUGUUUCACGACUUUAUUUUUUAAUUUAUCAAUAUUCAAUAAAAUUUAAGGUAAACAUAUAUGUGUGUGUGUAAUAAAAUUAAAAGUUCACAACUUAAUAAUUAAUUCACUCAUUUUAUUGGUAUGGACUCCAUAUAAUCUUAUCUUGUAAUUCAAAACAAUCAACAACUUUUAGCCGCCUAAUUUUGAAUCCUCAAGAAAUCAAUAAAUGACUUUCCACGCAGCUCGCUUGAAAAGAAUCUUUUCAAGUGAUCUACCACACUUAUCCUCUUAAAUAAUGCUGGAGUCUUUGGAGUAAUAAGACUCAGUGCUGGACCCAAAUCUCCAUCUAAUUUUGGACUGUAAAAUGUACCAAAAGAUAACCUUUCCUUCAUUGAGUUUACAGUCGCACGAUGUUCAAUACUACGAUAAGUUCCAUUGCUAAAAAUCUGCAGGAUCAUAAAUUGAACCCAAAAAAAAAAAAAAGUUAGCGAGUAUAAUCAAGAGGAGGAAGAAAUUAGAUGAAACUAGUCAUCAACUAUAUAUCCUAUGCUAACAAUUAACUUAGUUUUUAUUGCAAGCGACGCAUCACCAAUUAUUUCUAGAUUCGCAUUUAGUUGACUUUAUUUUCUAUUAUUAAUACAAAUUAUACAAUAAUUCUACUCUACUUACUAAUAAAAGACACGUCAGAUGUCACGUAACAUUAUUAGAGGGAAAAAUGCUUGGUGAAGAGAAACACGAGAGAAAAACGAGAGAAAUAAAGAAUAAAAUGGUAGAGAGAAAGUGAGUGGGUAGAGAGAGAGAGGACAAAAUUCUCUCUUCUUUCUCUCGUGCUUCUCUACACCUACCACUGCUCUUACUAGAGAUACAAACUACGGAGAGACAUAGCCUUACUUAUCAUAGGCCGUAGAGAAAGACAAGUGUUACCUUUAAAACGUCACCAACGUUGACUAUUAAGGCAUCAGGAAGGGGUUUAACAGCAAACCAUUUUCCAUCUUUCUUAAUUUGGAGACCAUCCAUCUCAUUGAUUUGGAGGAGGAUGGUGAGUAUGGAGCCAUCAGAAUGAGGCUUAAAGCCGAGAACUUACUCUGGUUGCGGACAAGGAGGAUAAUAAUUCAUCCUUAAUGAUUGCAUCCCGUUUUCAAACAGCUCUUUCAUGUCAUUGGGAUCCAUUCUUAGAGCUUUAGCCAUUAGGUCAAGGAUUUUCAAGGUAAGAUUUUUAAGUUCCGUUAAGUAAACUUCCAAGUCAUCUCCGCAUGCAAAUAAUAAUAUAUAGUCCAGUAAUUAUCAUAAGAUAGAAUAUACUAUAUAAGAAAAGUCUAAAAUUUAAGUAUAGAACCUGAAUGGAAGAGGCAACUUGGGGAACAAGUGGGGUUUCCUCAGAUGGGUUGGGAGAGUGAACAUAGUAAAGCCGUAUCCCCAAUCAAGCUUCUGCUCUUCAGACGUAAUAAAAAGCUGCCCAAAUCCCUCAACAUCUCCUGGCUGCUGCCAAAACUUCUUUUUCUCAUCAAUUGGAAGAUUAAAGAAUUCUUGAAUCUCUGCUUUCACUUUCUCCACCAAUGAACUGCUCACUCCAUGAUUCAUCAACCGCAUAUAUGCAAAUUAAAGCAAGAUGUUCUUUCCAUAUAUACAUGGUUCAUAAAGGAAAUUUUGAAGUUCUGGAAACAAAAUGAUUUUUAUGGAAAAUGCUAAAGAAACGGAGAGCUGAUAAAAUGCUGACAAAAACAACGAUAAAUUAGUCUGUUUAAUGGGUUUACAAUCAAGUGACUAAUCCGGUACUGAUUUACUUUGUUUUUUGUAAACGUUUUGUCUAAUUUUUAUUAUCUGAAUAUCACUGCUAAAUUGUUAUGUACCUGAAAGAAACCCCAGUCUUUACAUGCAUGGUUCAUAUAGGGAACUUAAAGCUCAGGAAGUAAAAUUAUUUUUAUGGAAAAUGUAAAAACACUGAGACCUGAAAAAACGCUAACAAAAGCAAUGAUUUGCAAUCAAUUAAGUAUUUUUAUUAUAUGAAUAUCACUGCUCAAUUAUUAUGUACCUGAAAGAAACCCCACUCUUUACAUGCAUGGUCAAGCUUCUCAAGCUCUGAGUCAUCCCCAGAGAGCAACGUGUGCAUGUCAAUGACUGGAAGUUGUUGUGCUGAAGAAUCGUCGUUGCGAAUCAAGGGAUGGUCUAUCUCAGGGAGAACAUAACGUGGCGGAACAGUUGUCAGUGGCAGAUUAUUUGCCAGCUCCAGAAUCGAAGGCUCCACGAGAGAAUUCCCAAUAACUGUUGCUUUUGCCUCCAUGUUAUAUAGAUUUAGAUUAACUGAUUUCUAGCUAUUACCUUUUUGUUUUCUUCUACUCUUCUGCAGACUUAGCUAGUAUGUGUUUUGACAAGAAACUCAUAUAUAAAUAGUCCUCUAGAUGUACUGUACUGUAACUGGGUGCAGUGAAAUAUUAAUUUUAUCAUGAAAAUUCGAGAGAAUUUUGACUUUUAUUAAAGGACACAAAUCAGUGCAACAUUAACACGAUAAAAUUAAUUUUAUAAUGGAAUUAUUUACACUCUACAUUUAAUUUUGAAUAUCAUUUGAUUUUUUACACUCUAAAUUUAAUUUUGAAUAUCAUUUGAUUUUUUACACUCAGUUAAUAAAUUUUAAAAAUUAAUUUUUAUUCUAUACGUUCUUUUAUAUACCAAAACAGUCUUUUAUUUAUAUAUGAUUAUUAUCUCACCCAAUUUAAUUCUUUAUCAAAGAACUUCAUUCUAAAUAAGUCUAUUAUUGUUAACAAGAUAUUUAAGUCUCUGUUUAACAAAAUAUCACUGUGAUGUCUUUAAAUGAAAUAAUAUAUAUAUAUAUUUUUUUUUAAAAGAGAAUUUUCUCUUAUCUUUACUAGAGAGUUAUAUAUUAGAAUCCAAUUCAUGUUCUUCAUUGAUAAUCUUCAAGCAAUAGUAAUAAGCAACUGAUUUGUUUUUCUUUUUCAUUUUUUUUAAUCGGAACUUACAGUUUUAUUUUUUAUUUUUUAAAACAAAAUAAUGUUACUCGUAAAUUUCUAUUUUUUUUUUUAUUCAGCUUCUAUAGUUGGUAGCUUGUUGGGUAUUUAUGAAACUUCUAAUAUUUUAUGAGGUGUAACUGUAAUUGGAUUACUGGGUUGAGCGUGUGUUAGAUGGUGUUAAGAGUAAUAAUAUUCUAUUAACUUGAAUUGACUUGUUCUUAUUAGUAAAUUAUAUUAGGGUAACUUUUGCAAUAAUAUUUUUAUUAAAAAUUAAAGUGUUGAGAAUAAAAUUUAAAGUAUAGUGUUUAAAUUUCAUUUGUCACUGUCAACGCUCCUCUAACUAAAGCUCAGAUGAGAUCAGAAUGCGAAAGGAUUGUUAUCGACUUCGUUAGUAUUCGUAUCCACUUAGUAUUCGUAUCUUUUGCAAUAACGUUCCACCCAUAAUGUUUUGUUCAUUGAACAAUAACACUAUGGCAGACCAAAAUGGUAUGUACUGUUUGUUUGCACGCAGUACUAUCACUUCAGUCAUAUCUUAAUGUCACUAUAGUGUUUAAAUAUCAUUUGUCUCUGUCAACGCUCCCCUAACUAAAGCUCAGAUAAGAUCAGAAUGCCAAAGGAUUGUUAUCGACUUGGUUAGUAUUCGUAUCCAUCUCUUCUCGCAUUUGCGUGAUUAAUUUUUGAAUUGGUACUAAUACGACUAAAUUGGCAUUUUGAAUGAUGAAACCAGGCUGGCCACACAAAAUUGUGUACCCUAAUUAUUGAAUUGAGCAUACAGUAGUAAAAUAGAUACAGACAGGCAUACAACAAUGACAAAAUGGACAACUAUCGCUAUCAAGUUCACGUCCCCAAUCUUGAAAUUACGAAAUUUUUGGGAUUUUUUUUUUGUUGAUCGGUCCUUGUCGUUGGUAGAAAUUACGAAAUUUAAGGGGCACCCUGACUUUUUAAAAUAAUUUACAUUUGUUUUUGUUUCAUCUUGACUAAGGACUCAUUUAAGAUUUACUAUUGAGACUCUAAAGUCACUUAUAAAAGUUAAAAUUUAAUUUUGAUAAUUUUUUUAAAUCAAAAUUUUAAUUUUGAUAAUUUUUUAACUCAAAAAUUUAAUUUUGAUAAUUUUUUUUUUAAAUCACCACAAAUUUUGAAUUUAAGAAUCAAUUUUAUACUUAACAUAAUUUCGCAUAUAUUGUUACACAUUUUCAUAAAACAAAAUUAUUUUUAAUUAGUUAACAAAUAAAAUUAGAAAAUUUAAGAUCGUUAUUAUUUUGAUUUUCUUUUUUUUUUCUUCGUGCACGCUCUUUACCCCAAUUCUUCUUCUUUCUAUUUUCCAUUCCAUCAAGAAUUCUGUAAUAAUGUAAAUAUUAUUGUUUCAAGAUCAACACUUAGGUUAAUAUGUGUUUUUAAAUAUUUAAUAAAAUUUAAGGUGAAUUAUAUACGCACAUUCCAAUCUAAAACAUGGAUUUAUUAAAGUUCGGAAAAGUUAUCAAGCCAUAUAGCUUAAUAGCUUUUUGGACUUCAAUAAUGUGUGAUAAUUAGUUAUAUGAGAAUCCUAUUACUCUAUUACUUCUUUCCCUCUGCCACUUGUACCAGAAUUUUCUAAUAGAGACUGCUUAUUGCACCUAAAUGACUAACUGGUGCUGACUUAAUAAUAUAUGCCCCGUUUGGAAUUGAGGUUGAAACUCAAUAAGCAACUUAUUUUGUAAUUUGUGACAAAAAUAAUGUUUGGUAAAUUUUGUAAAAGUUGCUUAUUUAAUCAUUUUCUCCAUUUUGACAACAACUUUUAAAAGUAAGUAGAGAGUUACUUUUCAUAAGCAGCUUAUUAAAUAAACUAUCAUACCUUUUUAAAGUUCCUAUUAUAGCCUUAAUAUUUUAAUUAAAAAAAUAAUUGUCUUACUUUCUCAUACACCAUAAUAUUAAACCAUUAGAUAUCACAUUACCACCACAAUCAAAUUACCGACACAACUAUUAUAUAUUCUCUCUAGUAUUAAAGUUUUGACCUAGUAAGUUUGUAUUUUUUUUUAUAUUUUACUUUUAUUUUCUAUUAUAAGAUUAAAAAACGUAUGUAUAUAAUUAUGCAAAUUAUUUUUUUUAACUUUGAACAAUUUCACAUGAAAAUUAACCAUAACUUUUAAAAUUAAUUUUAUAACCAUGGUUUUUAAUAUUCAAUCUCUCUCUCUCUCUCUCUCUCUCUCUCUCUCUCUCUCUCUCUCUCUCUCUCUCUCUAUAUAUAUAUAUAUAUAUAUAUAUAUAUAUAUAUAUAUAUAUUAUAGUUAUGGUGUUUAUUGCAUCAAGUUUAAUACGAAUGUAAUACAUACUACUUUUUUAUUUUAUCUUAGUUAUGUAUUAGUAUGAAUUUUAAUCAUAUUUUUUAUAUAACAAAUUUAUAGAGUUCUUUUUUCACUUUAUGCAAUUUUACUUGUUUUAAAGAGAAAAAGGCAUGUCUAAACAUUAUUAAAUAUACUUAAAAAAGAAGAAGAUAAUUUAAAGUUAUAUCUAUUUUCACAACAAGAAAACAGGUAAUAGAUGACGGGAAAUAACUAUUGUAAAAGGGAGUGCAUGACAGACAGUUCAUCUGUCAUCUAUUUCACUGUCAUUAAUUUAUGACAAAAUAUUUUCCAUCAUGAAUUCAUGAUAGUAUUUUACAGUUAUAUAUACGUCACACAAUAUCUUAAUGUGAAAAAUAAUUAAAUUAAAAUUUGAAUUUAUAUAUAUUUUUGCGCUAUUUUUUUAAAUUUUUGGUGGGAAAUUAAAUUAUCAUUUGUAAAUUUAUUAUUGAAUUUUGGCUCAAAAUGUUUUAUGACAAACAUUAUGAUCAUUAUUUCCCAUCAUAAAGUCAAUUUUUUUUAAAAAAAAUUCUAUUGUGAUUAUAAUUUAUUUGUGAAUUCCUGAUUACAAAUUUAAUUAACUAAUAAAAAUGAAUAUCAUCAAAAAAACUAAAAGUAAUUAAUAUUAAUUAACCUCCAUUCAAUCCAACAAAUUAAUUUCAAAACAAAUACAUCUAGUAUUCAAUGUCGUCACCACCAAUACAUAAUAAAACAUCCCAAAUAUAAAAAAAUCUAAAAUAUAAAACAAUAGUUAAAUCCCAAUUAAACUCUAAGAAAAGCAAUUCAAAUUCUAGCCAUCAAGCCAAGUUACCCAACAAAACUUCGAAAGAUUAAUGGAAAUAUUCUAACAGUAAGACUUCCAAUAGAGAUACCAUCUUCCAGCGGCAAUAGAUAAGAAAUUUUACUACAUAUUAAGUAUUUAACAUACAUUCAAUUUGAAUUUAAAAAAAAAAUCUUUUAUUAAUAGAUAACAACUUUUUUUAUGUAUAAAUAUUAUGCUAAAUUGUAAAAAUUAAUGUUACCAAAAUUAUUUUUCAUAAAUUAUAUAUCAAUUAUUUUUCUUGUAAAUAUUUAUAACAUAUAAAAACUAUUGUACUAGAAAACACUAUGAAUACAUAUCUAUUUAAGCUAGUCAUAAGUGUAAAAAUACAAACAACUUACCACUUACACUCAGAUGCCAAAAAAUAAAAACCAAACAUAUUAUUCUAUCUUAAGCAUUCAAAGCCAUUCAAACUUCAGUAACAUUCAAACCUAUUUCAAAUUUAAAAUAAAAAGACAAACCAUGACUUAAUAUGGGGCUAUUUGAAAUCUAGAUUUUACAGUAUCACUUUAUUCUAUACACUCGUUCUCUCAUUUAAUAAAUUUAAAAAAUUGAUUUUAUUGAGCACAUUCUUUUAAAUACCAAAAUAGUCCUCCAUUUAUAUCUUACGUCUCACCCAAUUUAAUUCUUUGUUGACUAAAGAACUUUUUUCUAUGUAAUUCUAUUAUUGUUAAUGAUAUUCAAAUCUCUUGAAAAAAAAAAAUGACCCUCAUCUCUUUGAAUGAAAUAAACUUCCGUCAAAAGAGAAAUGUCUCUUAAUUUUACCAGAGAGUUAUAGACUGGAGUCAAGUUUGUAUUUCCAAUUGAUAAUUUUGAAGCAGCAGCAAUAUGCAGCUGAUUUCUUAUUAUUUUUCCUUUUUCUUUUUGGGGUUUUGCAACGUACAGUUUUAUUUUUAAUUUUUUAAAUCAAAAUAAUGUUUCUCAUUUUUUCGCAUAAAUAAAAAUUGUUUUUCAAUUGCUGUUGUUGGUAGCAUGUUGGUUAUUUAUUAAACCCUUAAUAUUUUCUUUUACGAAUGAUAAAUUAGAUUUAUUGUUAAAGAAAGUUACAGGGUUUUGUAAUUGGAUUAUUGAAUUGAAUGUGCGUUCAAUGGUGUGAAGAGUAAUCAUAUUCCAUUAACUUAAAUUGAAUUGUCUUUAUUAGUAAAUGAUAUUGGAGGAGUUUUUGUAAUAAUAUUUUUAUUAAAAAUUACAGUCUUUAAAAUAAAAUUUAGGGUACAAACAACAUCACUCUAUAAUAUUAUUAUUCAAUAAAUCAUAAUUUUGCGGCACACUAAAAUGAUGCGGAUCAUUUACGCAACCUACCAUCACUUGUAUUAUAUCCUAAUGCCAUUAUAGUGUUCAAAUAUCAUUUGUCUAUCCCAAACGUUCGUUCAAUUAAAGCUAAGGUAAGCUAAGAUUUCACAGUAGAAUAGUAUUCUUAUCCAUGUAGUGUCACAUUGUGUGCUUUAUCUUUAGAUUGGUACUAAUCCCACAAAACUGGCAUUUUGAAAUAUAAAACCAGGCUGACCACACAAACUUGUGUACACAAUUUUUUGUUUUUUUUUUCAAGUGUUACGUCGUAAAAUCGUAAAUUAAAUAUAGACAAAUAUACAACAAUGACAAUGCCUGUCAAGUUCGCGUGCCCAAUCAUAGAAGUUACGAAACUAUUGGGAUAUUUCAUAGUUGAUCGGUCCGCAUCGUUGGUAGAAAUCACGAAUUUUAGAAGGGGACCGUGACUUUUUAAACUGCAUUAUAAUUUAAGUCCUUUAAAUUUAAAUUCAUUUUCGUUUUAUCCUGGUAAUUGAAUAAGGGCUCAUUUAAGAUUACUAUUUUACUCAAAAGUAAUUUUAAAAUAUUAAAAUUUAAUUUUGUUUGGUAAUUUUCUUAAAAUUAUUGAUAACUUUAAUUUUGAGAACAAAUUUUAUACUUAAAUAAUUUUAAAUAUAUUAUUACAUAAAACAAAAAUUAUCCUUAAUUAAUUAAGAAAUAAAAUAAAAAAAAUUCAAGACCACUAUUAUUUUUAUUCGUUUUUUUUUCUUUAUGCACGAUCUCUACCCCAAUUCUUCUUCUUUUGUUUUUAUAUUCCAUCAAUAAUUCUCCAAUACUGCAAAUAUCAUUGCUGCAAGAUCAACACUUAGGUGGCGUUUGUUUUUUUGUCUGAAAUCUGAAUAGAUCUGAAUUAGUCUGAAUGUCUGAAUAUGAAUAAUAUGUUUGUUUUUUUGUCUGAAUCUCAAAAAAUAAGUAUUAAGUUGUUUGUUUUUUUCAACUUAAAAAGCUGAAAAUAUGUACUUUUACAUUUGUAUCCUUAUUAAAUUUGAAUGUCAAAUAAAUAAUAUAUUAAAUACCACAAUAUUUUAACAUUUAUAAGUAAAACUAUAUUCAAGUGAAUACAUAAUUAUUUUAGAAUUUUAAUAUAUAAAAUACCAUAAAUUUCAAAUUUUAUCGUAUAUAAUAUAAGAAAGAAAAAACAGAGAUAUUUUUAUGUGGGGUAAAUAUCUAUGGGUGAGUUUUGGGAUAGACGUGAAAAAUAAAUUAUAAAACAAGGAUAUUUUUUACAUUAGCAAGUAAUUGACUUAAUUCAAAUUUCUCCAUUAAGUAAAAACCCAAAAAAAUUAGCUUAUUUUAUUAAGUCAAAAUUAUCUAAAAAGUCUCAUUAAGUUAUAAAAACAAACACAUCUAAUUAACUUAAUUAAUUAAGUUAAGUCACUUUAAGUCAUUAAGUUAAAAAACAAACGCCACCUUAGUAUAUGUUUCACGACUUUAUUUUUUAAUUUAUCAAUAUUCAAUAAAAUUUAUUCUCAGGUGCAGACGCCCGCAUUUUUAUUAAUGCGGCCACAAUUUUAAACUGUGUGAUUUAAAAAAAAAAUAGUUUGUGAAUGAACUAUAAAACUGUGAGUUUUAAAAGAUUUAAAAACUAAUUCUUUUAAACCCUGUGGUUUUAAAGUGUAUCCGCAUGGAAAUUUCAUAAGACUUGGUGCUAGACCCAAUUCUCCAUCUAAUUUUAGGUUGUAAAAUGUAGUGAAAGAUAACCUUUCCUUCAUUAAGUUUACAGUCACACGAUGUUCAAUAUCACGAUAAGUUCCAUUGCUAAAAAUCUACAGGAUCAUAAAUUGAACCUAAAAAAAAAAAAAGUUAGAGAGUAUAAUCAAGAGGAGGAAAAAAUUAGAUGAAACUAGUCAUCAACUACAUAUCCUAUGCUAACAGCUUAGUUUUUAUUGCAAGCGACGUGUCACCAAUUAUUUCUUAUUAUAGAUUUGCUGUUAGUAGACUUUAUUUUCUAUUAUUAAUACAAAUUAUACAAAGAUUCUACUCUACUUACCAAUAAAAGACAUGUUAGAUGUCACUUAACAUUACUAGAGAUAGAAACUAUGUAGAGACAUAGCGUUACUUAUAAUAGGCUAUAGAAAAUGACCAGUGUUACCUCUAAAACGUCACCAAUGUUGAAUAUAAAGGCAUCAGGAAGGGGUUUAACAGCAACCCAUUUUCCAUCUUUCUUAAUUUGGAGAUCAUCCAUCUCAUUGAUUUGGAGGAGGAUGGUGAGUACGGAGCCAUCAGAAUGAGGCUUAAAGCCAGGAACUUGCUCUGGUUGCGGACAAGGAGGAUAAUAAUUCAUCCUUAAUGAUUGCAUCCCGUUUUCAGACAACUCUAUCAUGUCAUUGGGAUCCAUUCUUAGAGCUUUAGCCAUUAGGUCAAGGAUUUUCAAGGUAAGAUUUUUAAGUUCCGUUAAGUAAACUUCCAAGUCAUCUCUGCAUGCAAAUAACGAUAUAUAGUCCAGUAAUUAUCAUAUGAUAGAAUAUACUAUGUAGCAAAACUCUACGAUUUAAAUAUAGAACCUGAAUGGGAGAGGCAACUUGGGGAACAAGUGGGGUUUCCUCAGAUGGGUUGGGAGAGUGAACAUAGUAAAGCCGUAUCCCCAAUCAAGCUUCUGCUCCUCAGACGUAAUAAAAAGCUGCCCAAAUCCCUCAAUAUCCCCUGGCUGCUGCCAAAAUUUCUUUUUCUCAUCAAUUGGAAGAUUAAAGAAGUCUUGAAUCCUUCUUUCACUUUCUCCACCAAUGAACUGCUCACUCCAUGAUUCAUCAACUGCAUAUAUGCAGAUUAAAACAAGCUGUUCUUUCCAUACAUGGUUCUUAUAGGAAACUUAAAGCUCAGGAAAUAAAAUGAUUUUUAUGGAAAAUGCUAAAAACACCGAGAGCCGAAAGAACGCUAACAAAAGCAAUGAUUCAAGUAUUUUUAUUAUCUGAAUAUCACUGCUCAAUUAUUAUGUACCUGAAAGAAACCCCAGUCUUUACAUGCAUGCUCAAGCUUCUCAAGCUCUGAGUCAUCCCCAGAGAGCAGCCUGUGCAUGUCAAUGACUGGAAGUUGUCGUGUUGAAGAAUCGUCGUUGCGAAUCAGGGGAUGGUCUAUCUCAGCGCGAACAUAACGUGGAGGAACUGUGAUCAGUGGCUGAUUAUUUGCCAGCUCCAGAAUCGAAGGCUCCACCAGAGAACUCCCAAUAACUGUUGCUUUGGUCCCCAUAUUAUAUAGAUUUAGAUUAACUGAUUUCUAGCUAUUACCUUUUUGUUUCUUUUCUCUGCUGUAGACUCAGCUGGUCUGUGUUUUAACGAGAAAUUCAUGUAUAAAUAAUCCUCAGGAUGUACUGUACUGUAAUUGUGUGCUUUAAAAUAUCAAUUUUAAUAUGAAAAUUCGAGAGAAUUUUGACUUUUAUAAGGACACUGAUUAGUGCAACAUUAAGACGAUAAAGAUAAUCUUAGAAUGAAUUAUUUGCACUCUACAUUUAAUUUUGAAUAUCAUUUGAUUUUUACACUCAUUUAAUAAAUUUUAAAAUUAAUUUUUAUUCUAUACUCUUUUAUGUAUCAAAACAGUCUUUUGUUUAUAUCUUAUUAUAUCUCACCCAAUUUAAUUCUUUAUCACAGAACUUCAUUCUAUAUAAUUCUAUUUUUGUUAAAGUGAUAUUUAAGCCUCUCUUUAACAAAAUAUCACUAUGAUACCUUUAAAUGAAAUAGUAUUUUUUUUAAAAAGAGAAUUUUCUCUUAUCUUUACUAGAGAGUUAUGUGCUAGAAUCCAAUUCAUGCUCUUAAUUGAUAAUCUUCAAGCAAUAGAAUAUGCAACUGAUUUGUUUUUAUUUUUCAUUUUUUCAAUUGGGAACUUACAGUCUUAUUUUUUAUUUUCAAAACCAAACAAUGUUACUCGUAAAUUUUUUUUAUCCAGUUUCUAGAGUUGGUAGCUUGUUGGGUAUUUAUGAAACCUUUAAUAUUUUAUGAGGUGUAACAGUAAUAGGAUUAAUAUUUUCACUUCCUUUCUUCACCCUACAAACAGCAAAGUAUGCAAUGAAUGUUUAAAGUUAACAAUCUGUAAAGUCUGGUCUAAACUUUGCUCUAAUUAAAUAUCAUAAUAAAUUAUAAAGAGAGGUUAGAUUAGAAGAUCUCCAACAGCUAGAUUCAAAGAGAUUCUUCAUUACAUUAUUUUAUAAUCAUUUUUUCGAAAAUGUCAUUCCUGUUAUAACAGAGGUAGAGAAACAAAUUGAGAGGGCCUUUCAAUUCCAUUUUCAAGGCGAAAAAUGCAAUGUUAUGUUUCGUUUCUUUUGUUAAUCUAAUCCACUUUCUAUCAAGCAUUUAUUAUUAUUUUUAUUUUUUUGGCUUUUGUUGAGUGUUUUUGUUCUACGAUGGCAAUUUGGGAGAUUAUAAUUGAGAAACAUUUUUAAUAUUUGAAAGAAACCCACGGCUGCACUGAUAAUGAACCCACAGAGAUUAUCAAAGAGUCCCUUUUCGUUUUUAAAGCAGAUUUUUAAAGUUUUAUACGGUGGAGUGUAUGAGAAGAGGAUAAAAAUUGUCAUAAGAGUAAAGUGAGGAUUAGACGGGAUAAAUUGAGUGAUAAAAAAAUUAUUUAAAAAUUUUUAGUGGGGUGUAUUGAGAAGUGGAGGAUGAUGUGGAGAAAUGAGAGUGAAAUAUCCACUAUAACUAUGCUUCAUGAGUAACGAAAUGUUAUAUUCAUUUAGUUAGGAUUCUUAAUUGGUGUACUAAUUAAUGUGUCACCAAUAUAAAUUUAUCAUUUAGAUAUGAAAUGAUAAGACUGAGUAGUUAAGUUCACUUGAACCAAUCAAAUAAUACAACAUAAUCACUUACACAUCUGUUGGUAUACAUAUUAAAUAUCUCAACGAAGUAAAAUUAUUAUUAUAGCAAAUAGAUCUUAAAUAUUAGAAGAAGCUUAUAAUGAAACUGACUCUGAGCCCACUGUCACCUAACCCGUGCAUCCCAGCUACUCUUACGCCUGUAAAUAUUACAAUACUUGGGUUGGGUUGUGCAAUAAUGAAAUUGAUUUUGAUCAAUCACCAUAAAUAGCUGAUUGUAAAUAUUGUGUAAUUAGUUUGAAGUGUGUCACAACAGAAUUAAUGUAGGUUGAUCUCAAUAAAAAUUUAAUUGUAAAUAUAUGAGUGGUGCUCUAAUUAUGAUGUAUAUAUCAAAUGAUAUAAGUAGAGGUCUGAUUGUAAUACUUUCAACGUGAUAUUUAAUUUGACUUGGUUCAACUAUAGCCUUUUCGCUUUCAAUCGAAAACAAAAUAUAAUAAACCCUAAUGUUGUGUUUACUUGCUGGAGUGGGAGUGAGGAGUGUGGAUUCCUCCCACUCCAGCGUUUACUUACUUAAAAUGGAGAGGGAUUGGGAGUCCAACUCCGUGGGCCCCACCCACUUUUGGAGUGGGGAGUGGGAGUGGGAAUCCACUCCCACCUCUCCAAUUUCUACCUUUUUUUUUUAUUUUAUGUUUUAUAAUUAAUAAAAUAAAAUAAAUAAUAUUAUAUUUAUUUAAAUAAUAAUAUUAUAUUUAACUAAAUAAUAAUUUACAUUGAUUCUAAGUUAAAAUUAUUUUAAAAUAAUAUUAUUAUAUUAAUAGAGAAUUAAUAAAUAUAAUAUUAUUAUUUAUUUUAAAAAUAAUAGUACUAUAUUUAUUUAAUAAUAAUAAUAAAUACUUUAUUCUAAGAAAAUAUUAAUUUUGUACUAAAUAAUAUUAUAUUAUUAUUUUAUAUAAUAAUAAAUUUAAUAUAAUUAUAUUAAAUAAAAUAAAAUAACAUUUCAUUUUAUAUUAAAAUUACAAUUAAUAAUUUAUUGUUCAUAAUUAAGAAUAUUAAUAAUUAUAAUAAAUUUACAAAUAUAAUAAAAUAAAUAUUAUUCAUUAAAUAUAUUUUUUAUUAGUUUUGUAAUUAAAAAUUAUAAUUCUUUAAAUAAGGAUAAAAUUGUAAUUUGAAACUAUUUACUUCCAAUCCAAGACAAAGUAAACACAUAAAUUGAAUUCUGAUCUCCAUUCCAUGCUUCCAUUCUAGUGUAAGUAAACAACCUACUCCCACUCCCACUCCACACUCCCAAUCCUAGGAUUCCCACUCCCUAGGAUUCCCAAUCCAAUCCAAAAAGUAAACGCUACCUAAAAACCGUCGUUGAUUACAAUUACAAAUUUACCCCCAUAACUGACAGUCAUUGAUUGCUUCUUUCCCAAGAAACCUUUGGAUAUAUAUUUUAUAACAAUCGGCUAUCACUUUCUUCUUCCAUGUACAAUAUCUCAGUAGGCUGCACUGAUGUUACGGUUGGGUGCUAUUUUGCACAGGAUUAAGAAAACCCAAUUUAGUCAUGCAAACUUAUUGGGAGCUUCCCGGCUGUCAACAACAACAACACGAGACCAAACAACAAGUGCUUUUUGGGGUUCAACGGAAAAGAUCUCCCCAGUCGGACUGUCGGAAGCCCGGCAGUCUGGGUGUUUGAGGAGCUCGAUGAAAUGGCUAAAAUGGGAGAAGACGUAGGCAAAGAUGACAUUGAGUUCAAUAUGGAUCUGUUGCUAAACAAAGCAUGUUACUUGGAUGCUCUCGAGGUAUUUAUUAAAUCAUCAGAUUUCAUUUUUUUUUUUUUUUCCAUUUGGGUUAUCAAUUGCAUCAGUCUUUACUUCUCUGUGUUUUAAUGAUUUUGCAUUAUGGAAUUGGAAUCAAAUGUUAUUUUAUAUAUUUUCACCUUUUAUAAACAUAACCGAAAUCAGCUGAUAUUAAAUUGGGUGCUUGGUGUAUUUUUCAAAGGAUCCUUCAAACACGACAUCAUUUCACAGCACGCACAGAUGUGUGAUUUUAGUUGUAAUAUUUUAUUGCUUUUGUUUUCUAAGACUUGCUCGUUAUCUUGGGUACCUAUAUUAAUCAAGAAAAUUGACUGGCUGGUAAAAUAGUUUUGAUGUUCUGCCAAAUUUAGCUUCCUUGAAAGCAUAAGAAAUUUGAGCUAUUAUUGAUAAUUGAUUUUUUUUUUUAAUUAUCUUGUUGCAAAACUUGUUUGGUAUUGUUUGUCAGUUUAGCAUGCUUUUGUCGUCGCAUUUUAUUUUUUGCAAUCCUUUUAUUAUAAUCUCUCUUUUCUCCAGAUACCGAUGUGGAACAAAAGAUACUUUGAACUUACAACUGGUGAUAUUGCUGUUCGACUGGUUUUGAUUUUCCAUUAUAAGGGAAUAGAAGAGCAGAAAUUUUUUUCAGUAACAUUCCAGAAAACUUAAGGGCUCUCGAGGUUUAUAUUGCUUUGCUUUAUUGCUAUGCCAAACUAGAUUCUGUGUACAAAUCAGAGUCUGUGAAGAAAGCGGAAGCCAUCAUGCAGACAUUAAGGGAUUUGGGGUUAGACAGGGAAACAAUGGCUUACGAUUGUAUGCUUAAUCUUUACUAUCAGACUGGAAAACUUGAGAAAAUUGAAGUAUGGUGCUGGAAAUUGAAGAAAAGGGUAUUGGUUACAACGAUUAUACAUUCUACAUCCGUCUGAGUGCAUAUGCAGCUGUUUCUGAUUGCAAGGGAAUUAAGAAGAUGGUGACAAUGAUGGAAUCGGAUCCCAAUUUUGUUGUAGACUUGUCAGUUUAUGCUAUUGCAGCAAGUGGGUAUGCAAGAGCUGGGCUUCUGGACAAGACUCAUGCAAUGCUAAAGAAAUGUGAGGGACUGGCAACGGGUGGACAAGACAGAUACCCACCGUAUGAUUUUCUUAUCUCAAAGUAUGCGGAAUUUGGGAAUAAAGACGAUGUUUUAAGAGUUUGGGAAUUCUGCAAAAAGAACUCGAGCGGUUGGAAGGUGGCAGGCUCCGUCAUUCCUUCUGUGCUGAAAUUUGACGACCUGGAAAUUUCUGAGACGAUUUUGGAGGAAGUGAAUUGGCCCAAGGGGAAUCCACAUUAUUGUAUCCAUGUUAUAAAUCCCUUGAUUGCUGCAUAUUGCAGAAAAGGUCUUUUAGGGAAGGCUGAAGCUAUUAUCAACAAUGCACAAUCAAGGGGGCUGAACCCUGAUGUGAGGACGUGGUAUCUUAUGGCAACGGGGUAUCUUCAGAAUGAUCAAACAGAAAAGGCAAUGGAAGCGAUGAAGAAAUCAAUUUGUGAAACUGGAAUCGGGUGGAUUCCAUCUAAGGAAUGUUUGGCCGUGUUUCUGAAAUGGUUUGAAGCUGGAAAAGAUACUGAGGAGGCAGAGCAUUUGGCAAACUUAGAAGGGGACUUUUUUGUUAGUUUGGAUCUUUCUUACGAUUUGUUGAAUUAUUUUCAACAUGGCUACGUAGACAAAAUACCCCUGGAGUUCCUGGUUUCGUCGUGGUAAAUAAUACUCCAAUCUUUUAAAUUGACUUUGGAAUUGGGAAUCUUCCCUACAAGUGUGAUUGAUUUUGUUGCCUCUGCAUACAUUUGAAAAAUCUUAAAUAUUGUGGUUUUUCGCUUCCUAUAAGUUUCGGUUGAGAUUUUUAAAAUGGUUGAACUGCUAAAAACAGCUUAAUAAUUAUUUUACAUAAGUACCACAUUGGCCCUUGGCCAUCAACAAUGCUAUCGACAAAAACGGAUUCAUAACUCUAUGUUUCCACGUCAGCGUGGUUGCAAAAGUAACGUGUAUUUUGUAGUUUGAUUAUGUCCAACUUGGGGAUAACAAAACUCAGCCAUUUGAUCGGUGGCUUUAUAUGAACGGUCAAAAUUUUGAAACCAAAUAUCUUCUUUGUGGUCGAAGGCCAGUCGAACAUCGUACGUUACUGGGAGGACGGUGAGAUAUUUUGCAUCCAACGGUCAGCAAAUACGCUCCUAGACACUUUUACUCUUAUCUGAACGGCAGAAAUUUUGAUAGAAAUAACGAAAUUUAAAGGGGGACCCUGACUUUUUUUUUUUUACGAGAGGACCUGACUUUUUAAAAUAAUUUAAAUUUAUUUUUGUUUCAUCUUGACUGAGGACUCAUUUAAGAUUACUAUUAAGACUUCAAAGUAAUUUAAGAAGUAAAAACUUAAUUUUGGUAAUUUUCUUUUUGAAAUCACUCGUGACAAAAUUUGAUUUUGAGCAUCAAAUAAAAUUUAAAUUUUAAUAUGCAUAAUUAAUUUUGGUAAUUUACUAUAUCGUUACAUAUUUUACAUAAGACCAACAUUAUCCUUAAUUAAUUAACAAAUAAAAUCAGAAAGUUUAAGAUUAUUAUCAUUUUGAUUUUUUUUCAUGCACGCUCUUUAUCCCAAUUCUUUUUCUCUCUAUUUUCCAUUCCAUCAAUAAUUCUCUAAUAGUGCAAAUAUCAUUGUUUCAAGAUAGGGUUAAUAUGUGUUUUUUAAUAUUUAAUAAAAUUUAAGGUGAAUUAUAUAUAUUCCAAUCUAGAAUCCUAGAUUUGUUAAAGUCUGGAAAUACUAUUAAGCCAUAUAGUUUAAUAGUGUAUGAUAUAAUACUAUUAAAGCAUAUAUCUUAAUAACUUUUUGGUACUUUAAUAAAGUAUAGAAUCCUGGACUAUUUGUUGAAGUAAAUUUCACUUAACAUUAUGUCUAUUUUAGUCACUUGUACUCUAACAAUAAUUUAAUAAUAAGAUUUAAUAUGUAUAAUUAAUUUUAAUACUCCCAACACUUUUAGAAAUAAAAUUUACUGAACAUUUAGUUGAUUUUGUUCACAAUUGAUUAGGUCCACUACAAAUCUAAUAGAAAUUAUUUUAAAAGCUACAACAUUACAAAACUAGUCCUAAAUUUCGUUGUUAAAUAUAUUAGUACGACAAGUCCACAAGGGCAUUUUAGUCAAACUCAAAUGAACCAUCUUCUUAUAUUAUCAAUAUGACAUGCGCUAGGAGUUUAAGCAUACCAUUCUUAGUGUUAACUACUCAAAGGGAAAUCUACAUUAAGGUAACUACUAAGUUACAUUAUAUGUAAUUUGUAGUUGACCUAAAAGUAGUGUCCUAUAACCUUAGUUGUGUGACAAGUAACAAUUGAGUCAUAAAAAUUAAAAAAAAAAAAAAAAUUUGGUCGAUAUACGUUACAUAUGAUAUAACUUAGCAAGACCCGUUAUAUAUAUUUACCGUAUAUUUACGCAACGGAAUAUUUUUUUAGGUGAUCGAUGUUUGUUGAUAUACAUUGUCAAUGCGGCUUCAUCUUUGGAUUCUUCUUGGAGAACUAAAGCCUGAGAGAAUCCCUAGCUGAAAAUAACAAGAGAAGAUCCGCAAAUAAGGGAGAGAGUUUUAGCCAAGAUUGCGGACUCAGUUGAUGAUAAUGAUGAUCUUUAUGAGAAAUUAAAAGUUGAGGCUUAAUGGCUUAUUGAUAAUUUGAUAUCUUUUAUAGGUUAAUAUGAUGUUUCUAGCUAUGCAAGCAUUUGUAUGAAGUUGGAUUUUUAUAUUCAUAUACUUUGAUACGAUAUUUAGUUAAUUGGUACUUCUUUAAUAAUGUAAAUUUUACUUUACCUUAUUCAGUUUUCAUAUACUUUAAGAUGAUAUUUAGUUAAGGGAGAUUAUCAAUUUCCCCACUACUGUAAUUAAUAUAUACAAUUUAUUUCCCUGUUGUAUUUAUAAUAACUAGUAACUCCCAUAACAACAUAAGUUUACAAUAUUACGUCUAUUUUAAAAUAUACUUUUAUUUAUAUUUAUUAUAAAUUAAAUAAAUGAUAUGAAUAGAAAAUAAAUAAAAAAAUUAAAUAUUAAAAACAAGAAAUAUAUGCUUUGAUGUGAACAAAAAAAUUAAUAAUAAAAUUUUUUCUUGUACUUUUUUAUUUUGUAAAUAUUUUCUUAUAAUAAAUAUUUUAUAAUAUUUUAAAAUUAAAUAUAAAAAAGUAUCGGAAAAUAUUUUAUUAUUUAUUUUAUAAUAAUAAUUUAUUAAUUAUUCAAGUUUUCUUAUAACAAUUUUUUUUAUCAUUUUAUAAUAAUUUUCUUAUAUAUUUAUUAUAAGAAAAUGUUUAUAAAAUAAAAAAAAAGUAUAAGAAAAAUAUUUUAUUAUUAAUUUUUUUCACAUGAAAACAUAUAUUUCUUAUUUUUUAAACUUAAUUUUUUUAUUUUAAUUUCCAUUCACAUGAUUUAUUUAAUCUAUAAUAAAUAUGAAUAAAAGUGUAUUUAAAAACAAGGGUAAUAUUGUAAACUUAUAUUGUUGAGGGAUUAUUGGCUAUUAUAAAAAUAUGAGGGCGCAAAUCAUAAAUAUUAAUUACAGUAGGGGAGGAAUUGACAAUCUUCCUUUAGUUAAUUAAGGGGUGGGGAUAUUUCCACCCAAUUAUUUGCCUAAACCCCCUUCACUUCUACAAAAUAUUUGCAAUAAAUACACAUUUUUUUUCUAAUAAAUACAAAUCAACAAAAAAAUAUAUAUAAUUAAUCAAUUAAAUCAUUCUUAUAUUUUUUUACUUAGUUUUUUAAAACUAUUAAAGUAAGUAAAAAAAUAUAAUAUAAGUUCCAUUUAAUUAUUUUGCUUUAUGACAUAAAAUGACCCACUUGUCCAAAAAAAUAUGUGUUCUUGUAUCUAAUACUUUAGGUACUUAGUUUUUUGACUUUUAAUCUAACUUCUUGUUAGAGUGCAAUUUAUGCACUAGUUUUGCAUUGUUUACUUCCUUUAAUAUCGAUGUUUUGCACUUAAUAAUAGUGAUUUACUUGUAUUUUAUUUUUGUAGGUGCAAUUAUAUUGAUUGGUGCUAAAAUUGAGCUACAAGAUGAUGUUUGGGGAUGAUUGUUUUCCUGGAGAAAUUAUGAGCUUCAGAAGAACUUUGUUGAUAAGGUGUGGGGGUGUGCUGUCAACUACGGACCUGCAGUUUUUAGUUUAACGUGUUUUGUCUUUUUGGUUAAUUUUGUACUUUUGAAUUUAAUAUUUAGAUAAUAUUUUAGAUGUUAGUAUUUUAUUUUUAGAAAAACUCUAUAAGAGGAAGGAGACGUGAAAAACAAGAGAGGAGGGGACUUUGGAAAGAGGAAGAAGAAAGAAACCCUAGAUCUAAAUUUUUCUCUUCUCUCUAUGAAGAACUAAACCUAUUAUUCUGGUUGAAGGUUAAUGAAGCUUUGAUUCAUCAUUAUUGUGAGAUCUUUCUUAUGCUUUAAUUGUUUUAUUACUUUUUGGGUAUUUGUUUAUUCUCAAAAUUAUUGUCAUGAUUAUGUUUGUUAAUUAGAUAAUAUGCCACUAUUUAAUUAUCAACUUAAUAUAUUGUCAAUUAUAGGAUUCAUCGUAUGAAGAUUUCAAUGUUUGUGACAAAUAACAUAGCAGUGCGUUGUGUUAUGAGAAUAAACAAUCUAAUUUAAAUGAACCAUCGUAUGCGUUUGUUGAUUAGGAUUUGGGUCUCUCUGGUUUUUCAGGCUGUAAAUUGAUUAAAUCCUAUGAUCGUAUCUAGGGUUAUCUAUUGAUUAGGGAAAUAACCAAUGGUCGUACCUUGGUUAUCGACUAGUUAAGGAGAGAUUGGCUAUUAGAGGGUCUCAGUAGCUACAACCGGUCUAUUCAUAAGUAGUAAUGAUUUAUAUUUGAAUCAAUGAUCAGUAGUCGAAUCAAGCUGAGUUAAUUCCUUCAACCAGAGCUUUUCCCAAUUUGAAUUACAAUUUUAAUUUGCAUUCUUGUUAUUUUUAUUUGAUUUUUAUUAUUGUCAACAAUCCCCCCAUUUUGCAAUUUACAUUUUAAAAAGGAUUUAAAUAAUUACCGAUCUCUGUGGACACGACUCUUCUCAAUCCCUAUACACAAUUUAUUUAGAGUAGGUAUUUAUUUUUACUAGCUUCGACAACCAUCACUUCUUAAAUGACGUCUAAUAAUUUUCAAUAUUUUACAUGUAAAUGACAUAAAUUUGACAGGCUAAUAAUUUAAUGAGAAUUUUCUCAUAAGAACAUUAUGUUAGUUUAAUUAAAAAUUAAUAAUCAUAUUAAUAAAGUAAAAUUAACUAUUUAGAAACAAUGAAUUUUGUAUGAAAUUAAGAAAUUGUUGAAGCUAAAUUAAAUUUUUGGUAUUUUUACCCUUUAAGCGUAAAAUAGUCAAUUUAAAUUUAGGUUAAAGCAGUCUUAUUAGUCAAAUAUAAUAAAAAAAUCUAAGUCACAACAAAAUAAAUUUAAAUAGAUUUAAUUAAUUAAUUCUUCUGAAUUCUUUUUUAUUUGAAAUUUUUAAAAAUAAUGAGAAUUUUUUGUAAUUAUUUUUUAAAAGUGGGGUGGAUUUGCAGAAUUUGUGGGGUGGAAAUAUCACCACCCUUAAUUAAAUACUUCUUUAAUAAUAUAAAUUUCACUUUACCUCAUUCAAUUUUGUUCUCCUAAAGAUAGGUUUUUAUUCUCAUAUUUGAAGUAAAAAUUUAAUUUUUCGAGAAACCUCGAUAGAGAGGGCAAUUUUUUCGGAUAUAAAAGAAACAGUUGCAUCAAUUCAGGAGAGCACAUAGUGAGGCUUACCUCUUCAAAACUGAAAUAAUCUCUAACUUGAAAGACCAUCUAACUUCUUUGGAAGGAUGUUUGUACCUUUGAAGGCACCACAUGCCAUCCAGUAAACCUGGAGUACUCAUGAUCAAGAUUUGCUGGAUGAUCCAUAACACCCUUUUGUUAUCUAAAAGUACAACAGAAAAGGAAAUUCAUUGCCUUUAGAAAGAUGGCGACAAUUAAGCCAUCUAUUUCGAAUACCAUUUUAUUAAUGAAGAUAUUAUGAAUAUCUUGAUAAUAGUAUAAAGUUCAAAUCGCUCAAAACGGUUUAAACCGGUAGAGUGGGGCUCGUUAAAGCUAUUUUCCGCAGUCCUUUGCUCUAUAGCAUCUAGAUUUAUUUAUGGCCUAAAUCUUUGAUCAAACAGCUUCAUACCUGGUCUCGGAAAUUCAUUUCUUGUGAUUACAGUUCUCGGAAGAUAGCGUUAGUUCAUUGCGAUCAGUUUUGUUUGUUAAAGGCAGUGGGUGGUCUUGGACUUCGUCGUCUAGAUAUUUUAAAUAGAUCAUGCAUGCCUGUAAAAGAUUUUAUGCAAUGUUAAAAAUCAUUCUUCUAUGUAUGCUGACUAUCUUAAAGCUUGUUACAAACUUAUUAUACACCAAUCGGUUUUUUGUUAAUUCCUCUUAAUAGGCUGGUCUCUUAAAGUGUUAUUGCUGAUGGCUUCUUUAUUCAUUUUUUGGAUUGACAGAUGGUUGUCGGAUCCUCUUCCUCCUAUUAGUUAAAGCUUGUUACAAACUUAUUAUACAGCCAAUCGGUUUUUUGUUAAUUCCUCUUAAUAGGCUGGUCUCUUAAAGUGUUGUUGCUGAUGGCUUCUUUAUUCAUUUUUUGGAUUGACAGAUGGUUGUCGGAUCCUCUUCCUCCUAUUAGUUAUUUUAUUGACCUUGCUUUGUCUUGUACUAAAGUCUCCAGAUUAAUGAUUUAUGGGAGUUUAUUUUUCAAUAUCAGAUUAAUUAGUCCUCAACUUUAUAAUAUUUGGGUCACCACCAGUUAUUACCUGCUUUAUUUGAUUUGGAAAGACAGAAAUAAGCUGAGAUUUGAGAAUGUCUAUCCUUCUGUAGAUCGUUUUACGGCCAAAUGUUCUGCCCGUAUUAUUAUUUUGCUAAACUUUGCCCAGGUUAUGUUGGUUAUGCCAUAUUAUUAUUCUGCCAAACUUUAUCGAGGCUGUUGAAAGUCAAAUAAUCGCUCGCCAAUUUCAAAAAGCAAAAUCGGCGGCAUGUUUUUGUUGACAUAUGCAUGGAGAAAAAUGUGGUGGUUUUUCUAGAUGCCGCUUGAAUUUGUCAAAAUUGUUGAUUUUGGUUGCCGUUUUUCAAAGCUUUUGGGGACAAAGGAAUUAAAUGCAUGCAUGAUCUUUGGCUAUAAAUACCAAGCCAUUUGUUCAUUUGAAGGCAUCCACAUUUUGAGAGCAAUUGCAAGUAAAUCAAUUUGAGAGAUUUGAGAGAUUUGAGAGAGCUAUUACUUAAGUGUUCUAGUGAGGAUCCAAAUGGGUGUAUUGAGGUUUCCGGCUUCGAGAGCUUUUUUCUCAAUUUUGUAAAUUCCCAUUUAUUACUGAAAUUAGCUUUAAUCUUUGCCCGUGAAUGUAGAUUUUAUGCCGAACCACAUAAAUUAUUGUAUUUAAUUUAUUUUUUUGCAUUUUCUUAUUACCAUAUUUAUAUUUCUGCAGAAGUCACAGUCACCAUAAUAUUGAUAAUUGCUCAACCCGCGCUUCCGCAAAAAUUGGUAUUAGAGCCAAAGGUUCAUACUUGGGGUAUACUACACUGUUCACGUAAAUAGUAUUAUUUGUAGAUAUGGUACUAUUCACGCAUACGAUGGAGACGACGAUUUGUACUUGGGAGACAGUCUAUUUAUGAAUAGCUACUGACGGCAUUGGUCAUUUAGGUUAAGAAAGAUGAUAGAGACAUCAUUGUUGUCUUCAUCAGCGAUGACUACUGUGACUAAUGCAAAGUUUGAAGUGGACAAAUUCAAUAGUACUAAUAAUUUUGGUAUGCAGCAAUAUGAGGUGAUGGAUCUCUUAUGUUAGAAAGAGUUGGAGCUUACUCUUAAAGAAAAGACUGAGAAGAUAAAUCACAAGGAGUGGACAAAAAUCAAUAGAUAGUGGACAAAAAUCAAUAGAUAGGUAUGUGGUACUAUUCACUUAUGUCUAGUUAAAGAUCAUAAAUACUUUGUCAUGAGUGAGACAUCAGUAAAGAAAUUGUGGGAAAACAUUGGAAGAAAAAUAUAUAAAGAAAAGCCAUGAAAACAUGCUUUAUAUGAAGAAAAAACUCUCAAAACCAAAAACCUAAUACACCGAAUUGGAUCCUCACUUGAACAUUCAAGUAUAAACUCUCUCAAAUGUCUAAUAUUGCUUCACUUGUAGUUUAUCUCAAAAUGUGGAUGCCUUCAAAUGAACAAAUGUUUGUCAAAAUGGUCUUUAGCGAUAAAUACCAAGCCAUUUGGUCAUUUGAAGGCAUUCACAUUUUGAGAGCAAUUGCAAGUAAAGUAAUUUGAGAGAUUUGAAAGAGUUUCAACCUACGUGUUCUAGUCAAGAUCUAAUUGGGUGUAUUGGGAUUUUGAGUUUUGAGAUUUUUUUUUUCUAAUUUUGUUAAUUCGCAUUUAUUAGCUCAUGAAAUUAUCUUCUAGUCUUUGCUCUUGGACGUAGGCUUUACGUCAAAACAAGUAAAUUAUUGUGUUCAAAUUUUUCUUUUUAUUUGUUUAUUACCACAUUUAUAUUUAUAUAAAAGUUGCAAUCACCGUAAUGUUGAUAAUUGCUAAACCUGCACUUCCCUAACAGAGGUUAUGAUAGUUAUGGGUGGAACAUGAACAAAUUUUUGCUUAGUACAAGAUUAGAUCAUGAGAAAAUCUUAUAUAGGACAUACAUAUCCUCAAGUUCCUUAGCAUCCCAUCUUAUAUAGGACAUAGAUAAGAUCAUGAGAAAAUCUUAUAUAAGAAAAAUGUUAAACAAACUGAACGUUCACAGAAGAAUCACAGAUUUAAUUAACAAAGUAAUCCUGCACAGUUUUAUAGUUAAUUUGGUCAUCAUUUAAUAUCAGUGCUCUGAAGGGAAUUAAGAAAACACUAAGUUAAAGUAGAAAACAAAGGCAGUAGAAAGUGAUGAGUGCUACAUCCAAAACGUCACCAACGAUUAUGAUAAAAGCAUCAGGGAGGAGUUUAACGAGAACCCAAUUUCCAUCUUUCUUUAUUUGGAGGCCAUCCAUCUCAUUGAUUUGGAGGAGGAUGGUGAGUGCAGAGGCAUCAGAAUGAGAAUUCAAGCCAAUAACUUGCUCUGGUUGUUGACAAGGAGGGUCAUAAUUCAUCCUUAUUGAUUGCACACCAUUUCAAACAACUCUUUCAUCUCAUUGGGAUCCAUUCUUAGAGCUUUUUCCAUUUGGUCAAGCAUUUUCAGGGUAAGAUUUUUCACUUCCGUUAAGUAAACUUCCAAGGUAUCUCUAGCAAUGCAGCACUAUUGUAGUAUUGUUAGAUGGACGAAACGUUGCAUCAAUAAUUGGUGUGUUGUGUGGCUAAAAAUGAAAAAAGAAAAAUUGAGAGGCAGAGAAAACCUGAAUGGGAGAGGCAAUUUGGGGAACAGGUGGGGUCUUCUCGAAUGAAUUGGGAGAGUGAAUAUGGUAAAGCCGUAUCCCCAAUCAAGUUUCUGCUCCUCAGAAGCAAUGAAGAGCUGCCCAAAUCCCUCAAUAUCACCAGGUCGAUGCCAGUACUUGUUCUUUUCCUCAAUUGGAAGAUCAAAGAAGUCUUGGGUCUCAGCUUUCAUUUUCUCCACCAGUGAACUGCUCACUCCAUGAUUCACCAGCUACAUGCAAAUUAUUCAAAGCACGAUGUUGUUGUCAUAUAUGUUCCACAGAAAUUAAUUUGAAGUCAGAAAAACAUGAAGAAAUACUCAUUUAAUUCCCAUAAUUUGAGCUAAUCAUCUAGUCAGUCGAUUUCCUUUCAAAACAACAAUAAUAUGUUCACAAAAAAUAGUAUAAAAAUGGUACGUCAUACUAGAAAACCAAAAAAAAAAAAAAAUAACUAUAGGAUGAAAAAAAUUAUUACAAGACAAGAAAUUUUUUUUUAAUCUUUUGUAGUUUUUAUACUAAUUUUUGUAUUAUUUUCGAUACAUAUUUCAUUAUUUUUUCAAAAAGAUUACUUAAAACAUAUUUUUGUAGCGAUUGGAUCCGAUUUUUUAAGGAUAAAAUAAUAUUUACAUAAUUUCAAAUAAUUAAAAUUCAAAUUAAUUCAACAUUUAGGAGGUGAAAAAAAAUGAUAAUUAAAUUGAUAUCAAUGAAUCAACAAAAAUACAAUAGAGGACGUUUUAGAUGAUUUUUUUUUUUUUUUUUUGUGUUGGGGAAAAUACAAGCACUACUUGGAUAAUUUGCUAAAAUUAUGGAAAAUGACAAUAAUUAACAAAGAAGAGUACGUAUACAUGAAAGAAACCCUAUUCUUUGCAUGCAAGGUCAAGCUUCUCAAGCUCUGAAUCAUCUCUAGAGAGCAAUUUCUGCAGGUCGAUGACUGUUAGGAAAUUAGUGGGUGAAGCUGACACGCAGCUAAAAUAAAAUUGGAAGAAACUAAAGAACAAGCACAAUAGAGGACACCAGAAAUUACGUGGUUCGGUUUUUAGCCUAUGUCCACUGGCGAAAACAGAAGGAAAAUAUUUUACUAGUAAAAAAGAGUUACACGUAUUGUGGUAUUUUGUCUCACUACCCAAAACCCGAAUACACCCAAAACUCUCAAAUCACAAAUCACUCAAGAGUUUGUUAAAACUCUUAAAAUACUCUCACUUUCUCUCUAAAGAAGAAGAAAUAAAAUGGAAAAUUUGGAUGCUCUAAGCCGAUGGGGAGCUCCCCCUUUUAUAGCCAAAAUUGGCUAUUAAAAUAAUAAUAUUUUUUUCUUUUCUUCCAUUUUGAUGUGCCAACCACCAUUUGCAGCAUUUUCUUCAUUCUUCUUUCUUCUUUGUCAAAAUUUCCCUUUUUUUUCCUUUCCUUGGGCGGCAUCUACUUGGACUUCAAUUUGGGUGGUCAUUUUGAAAAAUGUUAAUGGUGCCAAACCGCCCAACCAUGACUUUGACAUUCUCCCACUUGGAGAUUAAAUUGAGAAUCAAUCAAUCUCUACACUAUUCUUUCUACUUCGCCAUAAUCAUGUUACCUACGUUUCUGCUAGGCCACAAGAGGAUCUAAUCCAGACAAACUUAUCAGUAUUUAUUGGCUUGGUCAAAACAUCUGCUAGAUUCUCCUUCAUAUGGAUUUUUUGUAAAUCCACACUUCCGUCUUCCACUACUUCUCGAACGAAGUGAUACUGAACUCCUAUGUGUUUUGUCCUGGAAUGAAAGGCUAGAUUCCUUGCAAUGUGCAAGACACUCUGACUAUCACAAAACACAGAAAUUUUCUCUUGUUUGUGCCCGAGUUCCUCCAAUAACCUUUGUAUCCAGAUAGCUUCCUUGCAAGCUUGUGUAGCCGCCAUGUACUCUGCUUCUGUUGUAGAUAAUUCCUUAACUCUUUGCAGUUUUGAAACCCAGCUUACAGCUCCUCCCGUAAGUGUUGUUGUGCAAAUUUUAAUGUACUCGCAAGUGCACGAAUCUAUUGUAGUAUAGAUCAAUGGUGACGAGUGUCGAUCCCACGAGGAGGUGGAUUUUAAUUGUGUAUAGAAUUAAUUUUGUAAAUGGGGGAUUGAAUUUGUGGUGGAAAUGAUUUGGAAUAUGCUAAAACUUAAAUUAAAAUGGCGAGAAUAAAUUCUAAAAUUGGAAUUGAAAUGGCGAGAAUAAAUUGAAGAGAAUUCUAUUGAAAUGGUGUACUUGAGUAUCUGGAUCCGUAUCAACAUGCAUCAUGGGCUAAAUAUUCCUUAUUAAUACCAAUUAAAUCAUGAGGGGGGAAUCCACACCUCAUGAACCACGCUCUAAUCAAUAUGGUGCUAAGGGCUUAUCGUGCCAAAUAAUAAUAACCUUAUACUAGAGAGCCGGUGUAACCAAGGCGGUAUCUAGACAAGAUCAGUAUUAUUUGUCGACGAUAAGUCAAAUCAUCCACAAAAAUUAGAGGGGAAGAGAAAGUAAAUUUACCAAAUCAAGCCCAUGACACAUGUUGAGACUUCACCUUCAACCCAAGUUUGAAAGAAAAUUAGCCACUCAUAAUUGAACUAGGGGCAAAAUGGAAAUUUAUUAAAAUACGAAGAAAAUACAAGAUGGAGAGGGAAUUACAGAAAAUGGAUCCCAAAAAUGGAUUCAAAGAUAUCAAAUUAGGGGGGGGAGGCCCCCUUUUUAUAGAUACAUGGAGUAAAUCAUGGCCAUCGGAUUAAAAACAGUUUGGACGCUCAGGAUUGCGCCACGUCAUCAGUCAACAGUCCACGGUUUGACCACGUGGAUGAACAGUAACACGGUUUGACCCGGAUGAACAGUACGCGGUUUGGUUGAAAAUAAUCCUGUGUGAUGCAUGCACCGUACGCGAGAUUUUUCGUCCACUGAUAUGCUGCCACGUCACCAUCAACAGUACAUAAGAAUUUUAGUCCAACAGGAUCGUGACACCUCAUCAGUCAAUGCCACAUCAUCGGUCCGUCUAUGUGAACAGUGUCGUGAACAGUAACGUAGACAGUACCGUAUACGUGAAUAGUACCGUACAUGUGAAUAGUGCCAUUUUUCCUUUUAUGCUCCUCCUAAGGUUUUCGACCAUCCUGAGUUCAAAAGUGAUGUCCGUUUUGCCGUCUGAUCUCUCCUUUAUUGUGAAAUGACUAUACUGCCCCUAAAAUACAUAAAAUACUUAAUUAAAAUAACACACACGUAAUUACAUCAUAAGAAGGUUAAAUACAUAAAAGUAAGGGUUGUUAGUAAGACUUGAAAUGUAAAAUGACGGUUUUCUCCUUUAUAAAUAUGCAUUUUCUGACACUCAACACACCCUCCAACCAGCUUAUUGCUAGUCCCUAGCAAAUAAAGCGAAAACAAAAUUCAAAUUCAAUUUUUUUUUUUUUUUUUUUUUUUUUAGAAACACUCGUGUUUAUUCAAUCAGAUUAAUGAUAGCAAUCAAAUAAAAGUAUAAGCAUUAUCUCUAGUCUAAAGCAAUAUCACACCCACAUCAACCAUCCACAUGAAUUGGCCCAGUAGACUUUGUUAUAGCUACUUUCAAGAAUGACAUGUCAAACCCCAAAAUCUCACUGGAAGUAGUGACACUCUCAUAAUGAAUGGUAAUUGAGAGAAAAUAAUGAAAAAGUGAUAUCACAUGCUCUCACCAAGAUGAAAUAAAUAUGCCCUCAGCUUAGAAAUAAUACAAUCUCAAGUCAAAUAAAAAAAAUGUUAGUCAACCCAAUUUAUUUAUUUAUUUUUUUUAUAUGCACCACUACAUCUUUUUAGCCCAUAUAACUAGCUUCUACUUCAAACUAUAGUUCCCUAAAAUCAAGAAGGACUUUUAUUAGGACGUAACGUAGGCUAGGGAUAUGACUAACAAAGAAAGGAAAUAAGGAAAACAAAGUGUAUAUUUGAGAAAAAUGCAGAAAUAUUUUUUCUUUUUUUUGAAGUUGCAAGGUGGAUUUCACCUAUUAUUGUUAUUUUAUUAUUUUGAAACAACAACUUUUGUUUUUUUUUUGUUUUGUUUUGUUUUUUUUGUUUUUUUUUGUUUUUUUUGCUUUUAUUUGGCAUAACUUCACUGAACAACAUAAUUAUUUACAUUUUCUCAAACAUAAAUAGGUGAUGGAACUUAUAAGACAUCGGGUAAUACUCCAAAUCAGAGUGGGUCAAGAUGAUAAGUUGACAAAGAAAAUAUAUAUAUUUUUUUUAAAGGCUCAAAAGGGGUAACUAUGGAUAUUUAAUAACGGGGAUGGCUAGAAAGGCUCAAACGGAUCAAAGAUGGCCUUUCCAUCGUUUUUUAGGGCUCUAAAUAAUUAUCCAUAUCUACUAGUUAGAUGGGCCUCCCAAUGUAGCAACGCACAUUUUUUUCUUUUUUUUUUUCUUUUUUUUUUUAAUUUUACCAUUUUUUUUUUAUAGGGUUAACUCAAAAGAAAUCUAGAGAUCGUGUAUAAAAUAAUAAACUGCUAAGCUGUAUAGAAAAUGGGCAAAAGGGUUACUCUCCAAGAAAAUGAUAGGCUCAACAACUCACUUGGCACUUAUUUAUGACAUGUUCGAAUUCAAGCAACUCAUAUUUGUCUCCGACAUCAACAUGUAAAGUAGCAAACAUAGCGUAACAUCACUUAAGACCAAAGAUAAUACAAAUACUAAAAUUUGAAAUUAAUCAUGUUAUCCAAUGUUAAAACAAAAAACACAAUUUUUUUUUUUUUUUACACAACAUUCUACCCCCCAACCUAUUCUAAACAUGAAAGGAAAAUAUGCAUGCAGAAAUGUGAAAAUGAUGUAGAAAAAUUAAUUAGAAAAAUAAAUUUUUUGUUUUUUAACUAAGAAGAUGCGUUUCUAGAGGCACUACACUCCAUAUUCAGCCAUCUUCGACUCAAAAAUUUGAAAAUAUAUAUUUAUAAAGGAGAAAGAGGAAGAAAACGAUUUUGUUUUUGUUUUUUUUUUUUAAACGAUGAAGAUGCGUUUCUAGAGUAACUACACUCCAUAUUCAGCCAUCUUCAACAUAAAACGUUAGCAACAGUUAGUUUCUACAACAAAAAAUCAGUAAAAACUUAACCAAGAUUCCACAAUUGUCGACUAUUCCCUCCCCCAACCAGAACGAAACAUUGUCCUCAAUGUUUUAAAGGAAAGAAGUAGAGUUUAGAAGACAUCACCUGGGUGGUGCAACACAGAAGAAUAUAUUUACAGGCGGAGAGUUAAAUCUAAUUUGUACUUCUUACUGCGGCUACUGUUACCAUCAUUAUUUGGGCGCUCCAACACAAAGGUCCAGGGGUCUGGCUCCGGUUUAUAAGCUUGUAACAGAUCAAGUAGCUCAUUAGCAGUGUGAGCACAAAUAAAAAGUUUUUUUUACAUUAGAAGGAAUGAAAUAGUUUUUUAUUGCAUGGUUAAGAAAUGCGAUAAAGCCAUCAUAAAAGUUAUUGACAUUUAACAAACCGAUAGGUUUCUGGUGGAUGUGCAGAUGGGCCCAAGAUCCUAGUGUCAUAAGUGCCUCUAGUGUUGCAAGAUCUCCUGGAAGGAAAAUAAAAGCAUCAGCAUGAUUAAGCAUUUCAGUUAUUCUUUCUUGCAUACUUGAGACGACUAACUCUUCUCCAGUUGAUGAGUCAGACGAACUGCCCAAUGGUUUUAGGACUCUUGGGAUGAUGCCUAACACUUGACUUCCUCUGAUAAAAGCUGCUUCUGAGACCAUUUUUGAUAACCCUCGGUUACCUCCUCCAUACACCAAAUGUAAUUUUCUCGCUGCUAUGCUUCGACCAAGAUCUAUGGCUGCCUCAACGAACUCUUUAUGUUUGCCAUAUGUAAAUCCAGAAAGCACACAAAUGUUCUUGAAUUGUCUAUUGGGAGUAGCUGCCAUUGUGAUACUUCUCAAAAACAAUUUGUGAGUGCUUGACAAAAGAUAAAUCACAUUUAAGAAUCUUGGUGACAAUGGAUCACUGCUGUGAAUGAGGUAACAUAUCAGUGUCAAAUAACGCGUAAAGCACGUGGCUCGCGAGUCAAAAAGGAAACAGUAAAAAGGACAAAGCAAACAGUAAUAAAAUUAUUAAAGACAAUAAUGCAAACAAUAAAACAACAGUGAAAUGAAAUAAAAUAACAGUAAAGUAAAAGGAUAUUUACACGUAGUUGCGACUGUGGCUCACAUCUUCCUCUGGUUUUACGUCCAGAAACGGCUUGAACGCCCUCUAUGGGUCGAGGAUCGGCUUCCCAUCCAGUUUUCUUAUAAACUGACAAACAUGGUCGUUUAUAGUCAGAUUCCCGAGACUAUAUCGUGCAUGCUCUUUCUGGAAUAAUGGCUCAACACUCAACACAUAUCCACUGGGAUGCGUUUCAAGAGACAAAAGGAUAUCAUCCAAUUUGCACAUUUAACACUCAACACUCAACACAUAUCUUCCCUGUUAUCAGACACCAUUCCUAAAGAACAUGGGUUUCUAUCGCAACUCAUUCUAGCACACUUAUGACAAGCAAUAGAAAUUCUUCGAGCUCGUCGUUUUCUUGCAUAAUUUCCUUUACCACAACCAGGCAUGAAUGCAAUAAAUUUUGGAGGUAACUCACCUGCCGAUCGUACUUUAGCCUCGAUUAACCAACGGAUGUCAGCAGGUAUGUUAUUCUUCAUGAGCAAUCGCAUGCGUUCGGACCGGGCUUUAUAGAUUGUAAGGAGGGCAUUCUGAGGAAGUGAAGGGAAUCGCUUGUGAAGCUUCGCUAGAAUCUCGUUUCUGUCCAUACCUUCGCCUCAGAAUAUCAGUUAUUAUGGGAAACUGAAGUUAACCGACUUGAUUGUCAUGGAGUACCGUUAUCCGCCACUUCACCGGGGUAACAAACUAAAGCACACAAACAGAAAAAUAAAUUAAAACACACAAAGAAAAUUAAAAUUGUCCUUUUAUUGAAUUUACCUCAAGCUCCAACUGGAUGUCGUAAACACUUCUCUCAAUGUCUCUGAGUUGGCGUUCUAAACCCUCAACAUAGGCUACUAACUCUGGUGGUUGUAGAGCCCAAAUACGAUGUGUUUUACAAAAUUGAAUUUGCCAUUUGAGAUGAGUUUUGACACGUUGAAGUGGUUUAAGAAUGUUCAGGAGGAACGGUCUAAGUAAGGUACUCAUGAUUAAAAAUGAUAAGAGAAAACUUAAUAGUUUAAACAAACACACUUAUGCAAAAAUAAUUUCAAUUAGCAAAAGAAUAAUAAAAAGAAAGAAAGAAAAAUUAAAUCAACGAAAAGAAAAAACAAAUCAAUUCAAAUCUGGUGGGUCACUCAAAUUUAUUUCGGUGUCUUCUCCAUGUGGUUGGUAUUCUAGAUAUAGCUUUAAUAUUUGACCAUUAACUUUAAACGUGACACCGUUCUUUGGGUCCUUAAUUUCAAUUGCCCCAUGUGGAAAAACAGUAUGAACAAUAAAGGGACCAGACCAUCGAGAGCGUAACUUACCUGGGAAUAGGUGCAAGCGAGAAUUGAAUAAAAGCACUUUCUGACCUGGAGUGAACGAUUUUCUCAUAAUUUGCUUGUCGUGAAAGACUUUCAUUCGUUGCUUGUAAAUCUUGGCAUUUUCAUAUGCGUCAUUGCGAAUUUCUUCAAGUUCUACCAGUUGUAAUCUUCUCUCUGAGCUGGCUUGCUGCAUGUCAAAGUUGAAUUUCUUGAUGGCCCAAUAUGCACGAUGCUCGAGUUCCACAGGUAGGUGGCAAGCUUUUCCAUACACUAGCCUGUAGGGUGACAUCCCAAUCGGGGUCUUGAAAGCCGUUCUAUAUGCCCAUAAUGCAUCAUCAAGUCUUAAUGACCAAUAUUUUCUGUCUGGCCUCACUGUUUUUUCUAAUAUGUGCUUUAUUUCUCGAUUGGAGAUCUCAACUUGGCCACUAGUUUGCGGAUGAUACGGGGUCGCCACUUUGUGUGUGAUUGAAUAUUUUGUCAAAAGAGCUUUGAAUGCUUUGUUACAAAAGUGGGCACCACCAUCACUGAUUAUCGCUCGAGGGAAUCCAAAGCGUGAAACAAUGUUGCUUUUCAAAAAUCCUAUCACCACAUUGUGAUCAUUGGUUCUACAUGGAAUUGCUUCUACCCAUUUCGAGACGUAGUCAACACCAACCAAUAUGUAUUGAUGGCCAAAAGAAGGGGGAAAGGGUCCCAUGAAGUCGAUACCCCAUACGUAAAAAAUCUCAACCACUAAAAUUGGAUUUAGUGGCAUCAUGUUCCUUCGUGUAAUGCUCCCCAUUCGUUGACACCUAUCACAUGAAGAACAGAAAGUGUAAGCGUCUCGAAAUAUAGUUGGCCAAUAGAAACCACAUUGUAAAACUUUAGUCGCUGUUUUCUUAGCACUGAAAUGGCCUCCACAAGCUUGUUCAUGGCAGAAUGAAAGGAUAUUCUGAAUUUCAUUUUCAGGGACACAUCGUCUAACAAUUUGGUCUGCACAAUACUUGAACAAAUAUGGGUCAUCCCAAAAGAAAUUCUUUAUUUCCGCAAAGAAUUUAGCCUUGUCUUGAUUGGUCCAAUGCUCUGAAAGUUUACUUGUAACAAGAUAAUUAACUAUAUCAGCAUACCAAGGUAAUACUUCCACAUUCAUUAAUUGUUCAUCUAGAAAUGACUCAUUCAAUGGUAAUGGUUCCAUAAUUGUAUCAAAAUGGAGGCGAGAGAGAUGGUCAGCUACAACAUUCUCUGUGCUUUUCUUAUCUUUGAAUUCCAAGUCAAAUUCCUGCAAAAGUAACACCCAACGAAUUAGUCUAGCUUUUGCAUCUUUCUUUGUGAGAAGAUAUUUAAGAGCAGCAUGAUCUGUGAAUAUAAUUAUUUUACAACUAAUGAGAUAAGAUCAAAAUUUCUCUAAUGCAAACACUACUGCUAGCAUUUAUUUUUUAGUAGUUGAAUAGUUCAACUGUGCAUCACUCAAUGUCAUACUAGCAUAGUAAAUAAUAUGGGGAAUUCGAUCAACUCUUUGUCCUAAUACUGCUCCUACUGCAUAAUCAGAUGCAUCACACAUGAGCUCAAAUGGUAAGCUCCAGUUUGGGGCCUGAAUGAUGGGUGAUGAUGUCAACAACUGCUUUAAUUUUUCAAAUGCCACAAGACAUGAAUCAUUAAAGAUAAAAGGUACAUCCUUAGCAAGUAGAUUGCAUAAGGGUCUAGAAACUUUGCUAAAAUCUUUAAUGAAACGUCUAUAGAAACCAGCAUGCCCAAGGAAAGAUCUUACUUCUCUGACUGUUUUGGGUGGAGGAAGAUUAGAAAUGAGAUCCACCUUGGCUUUGUCAACCUCAAUACCUUUGCUUGAAAUGAUGUGACCGAGAACAAUACCUUGUUUUACCAUAAAAUGGCACUUCUCCCAAUUCAAGACUAAGUUCUUCUCGGUACAUCUCUGCAGAACUAGCGUUAGAUGAUGUAAACAUUGAUCAAACGAAUCACCAAAGACAGAAAAGUCAUCCAUAAAGACUUCAAGGAAUCGUUCAACCAUAUCAGAAAAAAUGCUUAACAUACAUCGUUGAAAUGUAGCAGGUGCAUUACAUAAUCCAAAUGGCAUUCUCCUAUAUGCAAAUGUGCCAAAAGGGCAAGUGAAAGUAGUUUUCUCUUGAUCUUUUGGUGCUAUGGGAAUCUGAUUAUAUCCUGAAUAGCCAUCUAGAAAGCAAUAAAAUUCAUGGCCUGCUAAUCUAUCAAGCAUUUGAUCAAUAAAUGGUAAAGGAAAAUGGUCUUUACGUGUGACAGAAUUCAACUUUCUAUAAUCAAUGCAUACACGCCAUCCUGUAGUUACUCUAGUUGGUAUUAAUUCAUUAUCAGCAUUGGUAACUACUGUGACUCCUGACUUUUUGGGGACAACUUGUACAGGACUGACCCAUGAACUAUCAGAAAUUGGGUAAAUGAUACCUGCGUCUAAUAGCUUAAGGACUUCUGUUCUAACAACUUCUUUCAUAUUAUGAUUUAAUCGACGUUGCAUUUCCCUAGUAGAUUUAGCAUUUUCAUCAAGGUGAAUGUAAUGCAUGCAAUCUGCAGGGUUUAUACCUUUUAUGUCCGCUAUGGUCCAUCCUAAUGCUCCUUUGUGCUUUUUUAAAACAUCCAACAACUUACCUUUUUGUUCGUCAUUGAGGGAUGAUGAGAUGAUUACCGGCAGAGAACUUUCUUCCCCCAAAAAUGCAUAUUCCAAAGUGUUGGGCAAUGGUUUGAGCUCGAGUUUCGGUGGUGAUUCUGAUGAUGGGAUGAGUUUCUUCUCUAAUGGUGCUAGUUGUUCAACUCUUGACUUCCAUUUAUUAGUGUCCAUGGAUGGUGCUGAGUCAAGUAGGGCGUUGACCUCAUCAACUGAUCUGUCAAUAUCAAAAUCAAAACCAAAGUGAGUUAAGCAUGCCUGUAAAGGAUCAUCACUAAGGUUUGAAAGAAAAGUAUUAUCAACUAUUGUUUCUAUUAAAUCCACAUCAACAAUUCCAUCAUCUGCACUGUGAGGUUGUUUGGCAAUGUUGAAAAUGUUUAGCUCCAUAGUCAUGUUGCCGAAGGACAACUGCAUAUUUUCGGUCCUGCAUUGAACAUGAGCAUCCACAGUUGCCAAGAAAGGUCGGCCUAGAAUAAUAGGGAUGUGCUUCCUUGAAUCAUGUAUUAGUUGAGUGUCAAUUACAAUGAAAUCAACAGGAAAAUAAAACUUGUCUACCUGGAUAAGCACGUCCUCCACAAUACCACGAGGUAUUUUCGUAGACCGAUCUGCAAGCUGUAACACCACUGGAGUUGGGUGUAAUUCUCCCAGUCCAAGUUUCACGAAUACAGAGUAAGGCAACAGAUUUACACUAGCUCCUAAAUCCAACAAAGCAUUCUCAAUUGUGUGGUUCCCUAUACUACAUGAGAUAGUGGGGGAGCCUGGGUCUUUGCAUUUUAAAGGAAUUUUAUGUUGGAGUAUAGAACUAACGUUUUCUGUUAAAAAUGUCUUCUUUUGAACAUGCAUAUUUCUCUUUUUAGUACAAAGGUCUUUAAGAAACUUGGCAUAAGAUGGAACUUGUUUAAUAGCAUCAAGCAAAGGGAUGUUGACACUUACCUGUUUGAAGAUUUCGAGAAUCUCACCUGUGGAUUUUCCUUUCUUUCCUUUCGCUAACCUCUGAGGAAAUAGAGCUUUGGGAACGUAUUCUCGUGGGUUGGUUUCUUCUUUUUCCUCCGGUGGUGAGUCUUCAACACUCACAGGUACAAUUUGAUUUUCUUUUGUCACCGGCAUCUCCUUUUUGUUGUCGACUUCUUUUCCUUUUCGCAAGGUCAUUACUGCUUUGACCUCUCCAUGCUGCUGUGGUGAACUUGUACUUGCUUCAUGUACUCCUUUAGGGUUAGUCACUGGUUGACUUGGAAAUUUACCUUUCUCAACAGUCAUUGCCAAGGUCUGAACUGAAGAAGCGAGUUGUCCCACCAUCUUCUCAAGGCUUGAAACUGAUUGGGCUUGUGAGUUGAAGCCUGCUCUCAACUCAUUUCGUAGUCCAUCAAUGGUGCGGUUCUGUUGCUCAAUCGUGGAGUGAGUAAGAUUCUUGAGAUUCUGGAAUGAAUCCUCCCAUGGUCUGGGUUGAGAGUAAUUCUGGUUCUGAUUGUAUGGUCUAAAUGGGGGCUGAGAGGCUUGAGGAUUUUAAGGAAUUGGUGGAGCUGGAGCUGCUGGUCCAUUUUGUUGGAAUCCUUGAGACCAUGAAAAAUUGGGGUGGUCUCUCCAUCCAGGGUUAUAUGUGUUGGAGUAAGGGUUGUAAUUCGAUGGUUUUCUCAUUACACCUAUGGCAUUGGCUUGAUCUGAGUAUGAGUCAUGGUCAUGUGGCUCUGUUGAUUUAGCAGUCGAUAACGAUGCUAUUUGUCGAGAGAGACCUUCAACCAUCUCCUUGGCUUCUUUGAUUCCCGAAGUUGACUCGCCAAUGUGAACCUCAUUCACUCCUUUAAUCCUUCUAGUAUUCCUGAGUGAUCGACUCCGUUGUUGGGAAUUGUCCGCUUGUCGCUGGAAAAACUCCCAAAUUUCUGAUGCACUUUUUGACAUUAGCUCUCCUCCACUUGUUGCCAUUAGCCAUUCUUGCACAUUCGGCAAUAAUCCCUCCAAAAAGUAUUGGCAUUGGUGCCAUUUCUCGUACCCAUGAUGUGGACACUUCAAGAGUAGUCCAUUGAAUCGCUCCCAAGUUUCGAAAAACUGCUCGUCCUCUCUUUGUGUAAACUCUGAAAUUUCCCUGCGAAUAGAAUUGGUUUUAUGCACUGGGAAAUAUUUAUUUAGAAAUUUUGUAACCAUUUGUUCCCAUGAUGCAAUGCUAUUAGCAGGCAAAGUAUUUAACCAUGAACGAGCUCUAUCCUUUAAAGAAAAUGGGAAUAAUCUAAGCUUUACAUCAUCAUCUGAAAAAUUCUCAUAUUUAAAAGUUUGACAAAUAGCAUGAAAAUCAUUCAGAUGAUUAUAUGGGUCCUCAUUUUCUAGGCCAUAAAAUGUGGGGAGACAAUUUAGCACACUAGGUUUUAAUUCAAAACUCCUAGCAGCUACAUUUGGGUAUCUUAUACAUGAUGUGCUCAAAUUAGCUAAGGGACUAAAAUAAUCCUUAAAUGGCCUCUCCUGUGGUGCUUGUAAAUCCAUUCCAAAUUUAUUAAUGUGCUUUUGUGUGCGAAGUAUUUUCUCAAGUUCAAGGUCUAUAGGUUCAAGAUUAGGUAAUAAUGACCUACGACCAUGCAUGCAAAACAAAUAAAAUAAAAAUAAAGAUGGGAACAAAACAAAUAAAAAUAAAGAAGAGGGAGAAAUUACGAUACUAACCUUAUUGCGCUAUUACAACCUUACUAUAAAAAUACACAAAAAUAAAUAUGUGAAAUAAAUUAACUAAAAAUUAAAUUAAUAAGAUAAACAAAAAUUACAAAGAAAAAUAAAUUAAAAAUUCAAUUACAGAAUUUUAAAGAAGAGAAAAAGAAAAGAAAUACUAACCUUUAAAUGUAGAUUCACUUUUUUUUUAAUAACAAAAAAAUUACACAAACAAUUAAAAGAAAUUAAUCACAAAAAUUAAUUCUACGAAUUAAAAUAACUUACCUCCCCGGCAACGGCACCAAAAAACUUGUUGUGCAAAUUUUAAUGUACUCGCAAGUGCACGAAUCUAUUGUAGUAUAGAUCAAUGGUGACGAGUGUCGAUCCCACGAGGAGGUGGAUUUUAAUUGUGUAUAGAAUUAAUUUUGUAAAUGGGGGAUUGAAUUUGUGGUGGAAAUGAUUUGGAAUAUGCUAAAACUUAAAUUAAAAUGGCGAGAAUAAAUUCUAAAAUUGGAAUUGAAAUGGCGAGAAUAAAUUGAAGAGAAUUCUAUUGAAAUGGUGUACUUGGGUAUCUGGAUCCGUAUCAACAUGCAUCAUGGGCUAAAUAUUCCUUAUUAAUACCAAUUAAAUCAUGAGGGGGGAAUCCACACCUCAUGAACCACGCUCUAAUCAAUAUGGUGCUAAGGGCUUAUCGUGCCAAAUAAUAAUAACCUUAUACUAGAGAGCCGGUGUAACCAAGGCGGUAUCUAGACAAGAUCAGUAUUAUUUGUCGACGAUAAGUCAAAUCAUCCACAAAAAUUAGAGGGGCAGAGAAAGUAAAUUUACCAAAUCAAGCCCAUGACACAUGUUGAGACUUCACCUUCAACCCAAGCUUGAAAGAAAAUUAGCCACUCAUAAUUGAACUAGGGGCAAAAUGGAAAUUUAUUAAAAUACGAAGAAAAUACAAGAUGGAGAGGGAAUUACAGAAAAUGGAUCCCAAAAAUGGAUUCAGAGAUAUCAAAUUAGGGGGGGAGGCCCCCUUUUUAUAGAUACAUGGAGUAAAUCAUGGCCAUCGGAUUAAAAACAGUUUAGACGCUCAGGAUUGCGCCACGUCAUCAGUCAACAGUCCACGGUUUGACCACGCGGAUGAACAGUAACACGGUUUGACCUGGAUGAACAGUACGCGGUUUGGUUGAAAAUAAUCCUGUCUGAUGCAUGCACCGUACGCGAGAUUUUUCGUCCACUGAUAUGCUGCCACGUCACCAUCAACAGUACAUAAGAAUUUUAGUCCAACAGGAUCGUGACACCUCAUCAGUCAAUGCCACAUCAUCGGUCAAUGCCACGUCAUCGAUCCGUCUAUGUGAACAGUGUCGUGAAUAGUAACGUAGAUAGUACCGUAUACGUGAAUAGUACUGUACACGUGAAUAGUGCCAUUUUUCCUUUUAUGCUCCUCCUAAGGUUUUCGACCAUCCUGAGUUCAAAAGUGAUGUUCGUUUUGCCGUCUGAUCUCUCCUUUAUUGUGAAAUGACUAUACUGCCCCUAAAAUACAUAAAAUACUUAAUUAAAAUAACACACACGUAAUUACAUCACAAGAAAGUUAAAUACAUAAAAGUAAGGGUUGUUAGUAAGACUUGAAAUGUAAAAUGAAGGUUUUCUCCUUUAUAAAUAUGCAUUUUCUAACACUCAACACACUCCCCAACCAGCUUAUUGCUAGUCCCUAGUGGUGAGUAUUCCCGCCUGUCACGCGGGUGACCCGGGUUCGAUCCCCGGCAACGGCGCCAAAAACUUGUUGUGCAAAUUUUAAUGUACUCGCAAGUGCACGAAUCUAUUGUAGUAUAGAUCAAUGGUGACGAGUGUCGAUCCCACGAGGAGGUGGAUUUUAAUUGUGUAUAGAAUUAAUUUUGUAAAUGGGGGAUUGAAUUUGUGGUGGAAAUGAUUUGGAAUAUGCUAAAACUUAAAUUAAAAUAGCGAGAAUAAAUUCUAAAAUUGGAAUUGAAAUGACGAGAAUAAAUUGAAGAGAAUUAUAUUGAAAUGAUGUACUUGGGUAUCUGGAUCCGUAUCAACAUGCAUCAUGGGCUAAAUAUUCCUUAUUAAUACCAAUUAAAUCAUGAGGGGGGAAUCCACACCUCAUGAACCACGCUCUAAUCAAUAUGGUGCUAAGGGCUUAUCGUGCCAAAUAAUAAUAACCUUAUACUAGAGAGCCGGUGUAACCAAGGCGGUAUUUAGACAAGAUCAGUAUUAUUUGUCGACGAUAAGUCAAAUCAUCCACAAAAAUUAGAGGGGCAGAGAAAGUAAAUUUACCAAAUCAAGCCCAUGACACAUGUUGAGACUUCACCUUCAACCCAAGCUUGAAAGAAAAUUAGCCACUCAUAAUUGAACUAGGGGCAAAAUGGAAAUUUAUUAAAAUACGAAGAAAAUACAAGAUGGAGAGGGAAUUACAUAAAAUGGAUCCCAAAAAUGGAUUCAGAGAUAUCAAAUUAGGGGGGGAGGCCCCCUUUUUAUAGAUACAUGGAGUAAAUCAUGGCCAUCGGAUUAAAAACAGUUUAGACGCUCAGGAUUGCGCCACGUCAUCAGUCAACAGUCCACGGUUUGACCACGCGGAUGAACAGUAACACGGUUUGACCUGGAUGAACAGUACGCGGUUUGGUUGAAAAUAAUCCUGUCUGAUGCAUGCACCGUACGCGAGAUUUUUCGUCCACUGAUAUGCUGCCACGUCACCAUCAACAGUACAUAAGAAUUUUAGUCCAACAGGAUCGUGACACCUCAUCAGUCAAUGCCACAUCAUCGGUCAAUGCCACGUCAUCGAUCCGUCUAUGUGAACAGUGUCGUGAAUAGUAACGUAGAUAGUACCGUAUACGUGAAUAGUACUGUACACGUGAAUAGUGCCAUUUUUCCUUUUAUGCUCCUCCUAAGGUUUUCGACCAUCCUGAGUUCAAAAGUGAUGUUCGUUUUGCCGUCUGAUCUCUCCUUUAUUGUGAAAUGACUAUACUGCCCCUAAAAUACAUAAAAUACUUAAUUAAAAUAACACACACGUAAUUACAUCACAAGAAGGUUAAAUACAUAAAAGUAAGGGUUGUUAGUAAGACUUGAAAUGUAAAAUGAAGGUUUUCUCCUUUAUAAAUAUGCAUUUUCUAACACUCAACACACUCCCCAACCAGCUUAUUGCUAGUCCCUAGUGGUGAGUAUUCCCGCCUGUCACGCGGGUGACCCGGGUUCGAUCCCCGGCAACGGCGCCAAAAACUUGUUGUGCAAAUUUUAAUGUACUCGCAAGUGCACGAAUCUAUUGUAGUAUAGAUCAAUGGUGACGAGUGUCGAUCCCACGAGGAGGUGGAUUUUAAUUGUGUAUAGAAUUAAUUUUGUAAAUGGGGGAUUGAAUUUGUGGUGGAAAUGAUUUGGAAUAUGCUAAAACUUAAAUUAAAAUAGCGAGAAUAAAUUCUAAAAUUGGAAUUGAAAUGACGAGAAUAAAUUGAAGAGAAUUAUAUUGAAAUGAUGUACUUGGGUAUCUGGAUCCGUAUCAACAUGCAUCAUGGGCUAAAUAUUCCUUAUUAAUACCAAUUAAAUCAUGAGGGGGGAAUCCACACCUCAUGAACCACGCUCUAAUCAAUAUGGUGCUAAGGGCUUAUCGUGCCAAAUAAUAAUAACCUUAUACUAGAGAGCCGGUGUAACCAAGGCGGUAUCUAGACAAGAUCAGUAUUAUUUGUCGACGAUAAGUCAAAUCAUCCACAAAAAUUAGAGGGGCAGAGAAAGUAAAUUUACCAAAUCAAGCCCAUGACACAUGUUGAGACUUCACCUUCAACCCAAGCUUGAAAGAAAAUUAGCCACUCAUAAUUGAACUAGGGGCAAAAUGGAAAUUUAUUAAAAUACGAAGAAAAUACAAGAUGGAGAGGGAAUUACAGAAAAUGGAUCCCAAAAAUGGAUUCAGAGAUAUCAAAUUAGGGGGGGAGGCCCCCUUUUUAUAGAUACAUGGAGUAAAUCAUGGCCAUCGGAUUAAAAACAGUUUAGACGCUCAGGAUUGCGCCACGUCAUCAGUCAACAGUCCACGGUUUGACCACGCGGAUGAACAGUAACACGGUUUGACCUGGAUGAACAGUACGCGGUUUGGUUGAAAAUAAUCCUGUCUGAUGCAUGCACCGUACGCGAGAUUUUUCGUCCACUGAUAUGCUGCCACGUCACCAUCAACAGUACAUAAGAAUUUUAGUCCAACAGGAUCGUGACACCUCAUCAGUCAAUGCCACAUCAUCGGUCCGUCUAUGUGAACAGUGUCGUGAAUAGUAACGUAGACAGUAUCGUAUACGUGAAUAGUACCGUACAUGUGAAUAGUGCCAUUUUUCCUUUUAUGCUCCUCCUAAGGUUUUCGACCAUCCUGAGUUCAAAAGUAAUGUCCGUUUUGCCGUCUGAUCUCUCCUUUAUUGUGAAAUGACUAUACUGCCCCUAAAAUACAUAAAAUACUUAAUUAAAAUAACACACACGUAAUUAUAUCACAAGAAGGUUAAAUACAUAAAAGUAAGGGUUGUUAGUAAGACUUGAAAUGUAAAAUGACGGUUUUCUCCUUUAUAAAUAUGCAUUUUCUAACACUCAACAAGUGUAAACACAUAGGCAGUAGUAGAUUUUCUUUUAUCAAGGUCUCCUGCAAAAUCUAAAUCCACAUAGCCCCUUACAGUAAACUCUGAUCCUCUUUAAUAUAAUGCAACAUCUGAGGUUCCUCUGAUGUAUCUCAGAAUCCUCUUCAUAACUAUCCAAUGCUCUCCACCAGGAUUCACCAUGUAUCGACUGACUGCUCCACUGCUUGUGCAAUGUCUGGUCUUGUACAAAUCAUAGCGAACAUUAAACUUCCCACUGCUGAUGCAUAUGGUACUCGAGACAUCUCAUUUCUCUCUGCUUCAUUGCUAGGACACAUACUUGAGGAUAAUUUGAAAUUAACAGGAAGUGGGGUAUAAAUUGGCUUACAAUCUUGCAUGUUGAAGCCCCGCAAGAUUUUCUUCAAGUAGUUCUUUUGAGAAAGCCAAAUCUUCCUGUUAUUUCUGUCUCGGUGAAUUUGCAUCCCUAGAAUCUUGUUUGCUGGUCCCAAGUUCUUCAUUUCAAACUCCCUAGCCAACUGUGCCUUCAAUUCUUGGAUUCGAUCUUUGUUGGAGCCUGCUACUAACAUAUCAUCCAUAUACAACAGUAAAAUAAUGAAAUCAUUAUCUUUAAACCUUUUGUAAUAUGCACAAUAGUCUUAACUGAGUCUAUUGUAUCCAAGGCUCACAAUGAAUGAAUCAAAUCUCUUAUACCAACAUCUCGGCGCCUGUUUGAGACCGUAUAGAGAUUUGUUCAACCUGCAAACCAAGUUUUCUUUUCCUGUUUCUGCAAAACCUCCUGGUUGGAGCAUAUAUAUUUCUUCUUCAAGUUCUCCAUGAAGAAAUGCAGUUUUCACAUCUAACUGCUCUAAAUCUAGGUCAAAUGUAGCACACAUUGCCAAGACUAUUCUGACUGUUGUGAGUCGAAUUAUCGGAGAAAAUAUCUCGUUGAAGUCAAUACCUUCUUUCUGAGCAUAUUCUUUCACCACCAAUCUUGUAUGAUAUCGCUCCACUUGGUCAUUGCCAUCACGCUUGAUCUUGUAGACCCAUUUAUUUUCAAUAACUUUUCUUCCACGUGGUAGUGGUAUAAGUUCCCAUGUCUUGUUCUUGUGUAGAGGCUCAAUUUCUUCCUGCAUUACUGUCAUCCAUAAAGCAACAUCUGUGUUGCUUAAAGUUUCAUGGAAAGUUGAUGGCUCUCCAUCCUCUGUUAGAAGACAGUAUGCAACAUUGAUCUAUGUGACAUACUCCGAGUGCCAUACUGGCGGUCGUCUCUCACGAGUUGACCGAUGAAAUUCUAGAGCCUCGGACUCGACUGGUUCUUAUUCCUUGUGCUCUAGUGCUGCUUCAGAAGAAUCUGAAUCUUCUGGAUGAUUUUCCACAUAUACCGGCACAGUCUCUGACUUUUCUUUUACAGUGCUAUCAUCCUCAUCUUUUCUUUGCAGUUGAUCUUCUACAAAGAUAACAUCUCUGCUGAUGACGAUCUUGUAGGCAGUGAGGUCCCACAGACGAUACCCUUUACUCUAUCAGCAUAUCCUAAGAAGAUAUACCUCCUAGAUUUUGGAUCCAGCUUUGCUCUUUCUUGGGCAUUGUACAUCACGUACACAUGACAUCCAAAUGCAUGUAGGUAGGAGUAAUCAGCUGGCUUUUCAGUCUACAUCUCCAUCGCUGUCUUCAGCCCAAUAGUUGUAGAUGGGUAGACCAGCAGUCCUCAACAUAGCUCUUAUUCGUUCUGUAAGAAUCCUAUUCAUCCGCUCUGCCACUCCAUUUUGUUGAGGAGUGUAUGCUACCGUGAACUGCCUCUGAAUACCUUCUUGCCUACAAAAAGCAAGAAACUCGCCGCUGUAUAGUCUCCACCAUUAUCCGUCCUCAAGCACUUGAUCUUUUUUCCGGAUUCAAGUUCCAUCCGCACUUUGUAUUCUUUAAACACUAGAAAUACAUAUGACUUUUUCCUAAUUAGAUACACCCAACAUCUCCUAGAAUAAUUAUCAAUGAAAGUCACCAUGUACUUUGCACCUCUCAUAGUCAUAUCCGGCGAUUCCCAAACAUCAUAAUGAAUCAAGUCUAGAAUGCGUUUACUUCUAGCAAUAGAUCUACUGAACUUUAAUAUAUGAUGCUUACUUGUAACACAAUGCUCGCAAAAUGGUAAACGUACCGAUUUAAGUCCUGGAAGCAAUUUUCGCUCAGAGAAAAUCUUCAAAUCUUGUUAUGACAUGUGGUCAAGUUUGAGAUGCCACAUCAUCGUUGACUCUUCUCCAUUUGAUGCAACACAUGCAUCAGCCUCCUGUAAUGUUUCUCCUUUAAGCAUGAAUAGAUUAACACCGAUUUUUUCUGCCUUCAUCAAUACAAGCGCGCCUUUAACGAUCUUCAUAAUUUUAUUCUCCACAUGAGUUUUGUACCCAUGACUAUCCAUUUGUCUCAAAGACAAUAGAUUUUUCUUCAGGCCAUUGACAUGACGUACCUCCCUAAUUGUGCGAAUUGCACUAUCAAACAUUUUUAUUUUGAUAGUACCAAUAUCAGCGAUCUCCAAGGCAUGAUCAUUACCCAUAUAUACAGAUACUCCUGAGAUAGGUUCAUAUGUGUGAAACUAUUUUCUCCAAGAGGUCAUGUGCCAGGUAGCUCCUGAGUCUAUAAGCCAGACAUCAGAUUAUCGUUUUCUGCCUUCUGAAACAGUUGUUGCCUCGUUGUAGAGAAUUUCGCCAUCAUCUGAGGUACUUGCUACACACCCCUGAGCAUUUGAUGACUUAGGUUCUUUGCCCUCUUUUCUCUUCUGGUUACUCCAAUACUCUUUCUUGACAUGUCCUUUCUUACCACAGUUGUAGCAUUUAACAUUCUUCUUACUUCUGGAUUUGGAUCUACCAUGAUUGUGACUCCCAUUGGGGCCACGUUCCGUUGAUCUCCCUCUCGUAACUGAUAACGCCUCUGCUUGCUGUGAACUUGCUUGUCUGUUUUCCUUAUUUUUCCGUCUGCUCUCCUCAUUUAAUACGGAGGCUGCAACAUCGUAAAAAACUAGACUAUUUGCUGGAUUGUUGUUCGUUAGGUUGAUGAUAAGUUGAUCAUACGAAUCUGGUAGACUUUGAAGUAGAAGUUUUGCACGUUCAUUUUCCUCUAUAUUAUGACCCAACGUUGUGAGUUGUGAAAAUAAAAUUUUCAAGGUGUUGAUGUGGUCGGUCACCAUUAUAGAUUCUGCCAUUCGAAGAGUAUAGAGUUUCCUCUUCAAGAAAAUUUUGUUGUGUAGUGAUUUGGUCUCGUACAAUUUUGUGAGAGUAUCCCAUAUUUCUUUUGCUGUAGUUUUCUUUGCCACACUGGAUAAUACUAUGUCCACAAGUGCUAAGUGUAGAUCAGAAAUGGCGUUGCCAUCUAUCCCAUUCCACUUGUCAUUAGUUAUCUCAAUGGGCCUUCUCCAAUUGCUGCCAAGCAAUUAUUUUUCCUCAAUACAGCUUUCAUCUUCAUUUUCCACAACGAAAAUUUAUUUCCGUUAAACUUCUCAAUUUCAUACUUUGCCGCCAUUUUGUUGAUAAAUACAGUACACAAACCAGUGUAUCACCUCGAAUAGUUGUGAGUAUGUGUGAAUAUGCACACCAGGAAAGUUCCCAGGAAAGACUGGAGGGGUCACAACGGUCUCACUUAAAACCUAGACUCCUUAGGCUCUUAUCGCCUUUGUGACAGAACUUUUCUAGACAUGUUCAAAACCACACAGUUACUCCACUCACACUACUAUUCCCUACUUUGCACCGCAAAAAUUCUUGGAUUACUCCCACCGUUUCCCAUGAACAGUGUCGUAUACGUGAACAGUGUCGUAUACGUGAAUAGUAUCGUAUACGUGAAUAGUAUCAUAUACGUGAACAAUGUCGUAUACGUGAACAGUGUCGUAUACGUGAACAAUACCCAACUCCAAAAAAUACAACCAAUAGCUCUGAUACCACUAUAAGAAAAUUGGUGGGUGAAGCAGACACACAACUAAAAUAAAAUUAGAAGAAAAUAAAGAACAAGCACAGUAGAGGACCCCAGAAAUUACGUGAUUCGGCUUUUAACUUACGUCCACAUGCAAAAACAGAAGGAAAAUAUUUUACUAGUGAAAAUGAGUUACAAGUAUUGUGGUAUUUUGUCUCACUACCCAAAACCCCAAUACACCCAAAACUCUCAAAUCACAAAUCACUCAAGAGUUUGUUAAAACUCUUAAAAUACUCUCACUUUCUCUCUAAAGAAUAAGAAAUAAAAUGAAAAAUUUGGAUGCUCUAAGCCGAUGGGGAACCCCCCCAUUUAUAGCCAAAAUUGGCUAUUAAAAUAAUAAUUUUUUUUCUUUUCUUCCAUUUUGGUGUGCCAACCACCAUUUGCAGCAUUUUCUUCAUUCGUCUUUCUUCUUUGUCAAAAUUUCCCUUUUUUUUUCCUUUCCUUGAGCGGCAUCUACUUGGACUUCAAUUUGGGUGGCCAUUUUGAAAAAUGUUAAUGGUGCCAAACCGCCCAACCAUGACUUUGACAAUGACUGGAAGUUGUUCUGUUGAAGAAUUGUUGUUGUUGCAGAUCAUUACAUCUUUUAUAUCAGGGUGAACAUAUCGUGGUGGAACUUUAGUCGUCAUUGGCUUCAUUGCCAGCUCCUGAAUCGAAGGCUCCAGAAGAGAACUUGCUAUCGUUGUUGCUUUACAUAGUUUUUGAUUAAUUACCUCUCUUUUCUCUCCAAACUCGUGUGAUUAAACAAGACUAUACAAAGUUUUCAAUUAUUGAAGUAGAGAAUAACUUUUUUAAUUGCGGUCAUUUGAAAAAUAUUGCUUUAAAUAUAAGAUACUUAAUACAUUAAUUGAUCAAAUGGACAACUAAAUACUUUCGACUUGGAAAAGCAACAAUUCCUUGACGGUAGUGAAGUAGGGGUAUUCACAGAUUAGAUGUUAUGGAUUGGAUAUCAAUCCAUAUCCAAUUAACAAUUUUUUAUAUUAUAAAUUUUUAAUCCAAUUCAAUCUACGAAUUAGUGAAAUUCAAUUCAAAUUCAAUCCAUGUGAAUCAGAUGUGUAUUUGACCUAAUUCAUAUCCAAUCCACCAUUUUAUGGCCAUGGGUUAGUUUGUAAGUUAAGAAUUUUUAAUUUUGUCAAAUUUAAAAUUUAAUAAGAUUUAAAUAAAUUAAUCAUUUAAAUAAAACUAGAAAAAUACAUUCAAAGUUUCAAAUAUAAAACAACAAGAAGAAACAAUCUCAUUUUUUUAAAUCAAUACAUAAAAAUUAACUAAAAUUAUGAAAAUUAACUGUUUAGGAAGCUAUUUUUACUUAUUUAAUUAUUUUUUAUUUUAUAUUAUCAUGAAUAAGAUAUAAUAUGCUAUUAACGUAACUACAUUUUUAACUUAUUUUGUUAUUAGUAAGUAAUAAUGCCACAUUUACAAGUUUAAUAUUUUAAUUAAAUAAUUUUUGUUUUUGCAAAUUUACAGAUUUUUAUGAAUUUAUAGAAGUAAAUCUAUAUCUAAUUUAUUGACUGCGGAUUUUUAAAUUUUUAAUCUAAUUCAAUCCACUAAUCCACAGAUCGGAUUUUUAUAGAUCAAAUUUUUUGUAGAUCAAAUUAAGCAAAUCAGAUUAGAUUUUGAACACCCCUAGAGUGAAGAAGAGUUUAUUAAUUUAAUUUUUUUUGGGAUGGAUUUUAAUUCUGAUUUGGGGUGGGUUCGAUUCGGUUUUCCAAACCGAGCCGAACCAAAAUUUAUGUUAAUUAGAUUUAAUUUCGGUUUUAUAAAUAAAUAAAAUAAUUAUAAACAUUAAAAUCAUGCACACACCCACCAUCUCUCUCUCACACACUAGCCGACACACACAUACACCCUCACCAUCUGUCUCACUCUCGCUGAUACACACAUUCCAUCCACCACUGUCGCUUAUUAGCCAGCCUGUCACCGUAGUCGUCGCCAUCGCGCUCGUGUCAGCCUGUCGUAGUUCAUCCGGUCGUGCUCGUGUCAGCGUCGCCUCCCGUUCGUUGUGGUCGUGUCGUCGGUAGCCCGCCGCUGCUGUCGUGUCGGUGGACUUGUGUAACUUGUGUUUACAUUUUUUAUUUAUUCGUUGAUUUUGAUGGAAAGAUUUGGAAGCAAAUGAAAAGGUCAGUUUUAUAAUUACAAAUUAUUUGAAACAUCCAAAUAAAUUUUCAUGAAGUUCACGAGGAGGCUGUUGUUUUCAAUUGAAUCAAUUUUAAGUGUGCUUGUAGCAGCUGCCAUGCUCAAUAAUCCAUUUCACACCUGAAUUUCAAAACACUUGUUUUCCUUAAUUUUGUGAGUUCGGAUUCAUAAAUUGGAGUUUAAUUUGUUGGGUGUUUUAUAAAUAAAUUGUUGAAUGAAUCUAAUCACCAGCAAAGGGCUUCCUCAUCCAUUUUGAACCGAUCCACCCGUUUGUGAACCGAACUGAUCACAAAAUCGAACCGAUCGAAUCAUCUUUGGUACGGUUCAAAAGUUGGUUCGUAUUCGGUUCCAGCUUUAAAGAAUCGAUUGAUUUCAGUUUGGUUCAGUUCUUCGACUGAACCGAAUUGUACCAGAUAUGCCCAGCCCUAAUCUGAUAUGUCGAGUUUGGUCUCUGUAGUACGUUAGGUUUUAUUUAUUAUAAGAGCCCAUAGUCUAAGUCAUACUCAAAAACUAUUUAAAGAGUUGAGUAUUGUCUUAAAAUUUUUAUAUAGCCUUGUAAUUUUUCUUAGCCAGCGGCCAAACGUUGGAUAAUUUCCUCAAAACCUCUUGUCAUGUUCAUACUGUUCUUCUUGUAUGGUCGUUGUGAAAUGGAAUGGUAGUGUGAGACUGCUCAUGUAUGAUUUUGACACUAAUAUCAUAUAAAAACCAAUUUUCCUAAUUUAUACACAAAAACUAAUUCAAAAGAGUUGAGAUCUUAUAAUAUUAACCUAAUAAAUAUUAUUCUCAACUAAUGUGUAAUAAUAUCUUCAACAUUUAUCAAUAUUUAUAUUUUACUCUUUAAUAAUAAUAUUAAAAAAAUCAUGUGUUGGAAAAGCCAAUUACAUGUAUUAUUUUUGUCAAUUUUUGUUGAUAUAAGAUGUAAAGUCAAUGACACGCUUAAGCAUUUUUCAAAUGUGGAUGUCUGACCACACUGCUUGAGCAAGAUUAUUCAGCAUAAAGGAUAUAUACAUUAGGUUUCCACGUGGCCUGUCUUGUUUUUUGGAAUUUUGUUGGAUCUUGAUCCCUUACUUAAUGAUCUAAGUACUUUGUGAUUGUCUGGUGCAAUUCUAUGAUCGAUGUAACUUAUAUCAUUAUAUAAGGGACCUCUUAUUUUUUAUUGAUACUUUAAAAUACUAAUGUCUCACAUUAAAGGAAAGCAGGAUCAAUUUUCUUUGCAUUUGAUUUGAAAUUAGUCAUAUGUUAUAUUUAAUUACAAUUUAGAGUUGAAUAAACUAAAUUUGUAUGUGAUUGUAAUUAUUCAAGUUGAAUUAAAUUCUGAGAUAUAUGAAUGACUAAUUUAAAUUAAAAAGAUAUCCGUAAAAUGUUUCUCUAUAAAAAGGAGACAUACAAAGUUUUCUGUAUGAAAAAGCACUAUGUUGUCUUAUUAAAAAAAAAAAAAAAAACUAACAGUCUUUUUAUAACUUUUAAUUUUUGUCUCAUAUUUCUUCAUCAAUUUAUUUUUACUAUUUUUUAAACAAUGUUGGAAGUUUGAUAUAAUUUUUCCAUAUAAAGUCAAUGAAAAGAUAGACCACGAUGAGUGGAAGAAAAAUAUUAUAAGUUUUUUUCCAUGAAAGAGCACCACGUGUUUGACAAUUAAUAUGAUUUUAAAGGGACCAUCAUAAACAUCAUCUUUUCAAAAGCAAAAUUGAAAAUUGUCAUCUUCCAAACUUUCCAGGCAAACACAUUAAUUUGCUGGUCCAAUAGAAAGAAGUCACAUUUGUUGAAAAUAAUCACUUCAAGUCAUCAUACGCCAAUCUCAAUUGUAGGUUCAAAUCAGGUCCUAGGACAACAAUUGAAACUGCAGAUAUAUAUAAAUCGACAAAGAAACAUAGAAUAUACACAAAAUUUAUUAUGUAAUUUUAUUUUAACUUUUCUACAAGUUAUAAUUCACAUACAAAUACAAGUUACACAACUCCGUAAACUUAUUUAAGUUUAUCCAUUGAAGUAUACACAGCCCAGCAAGUCUAAACACAAUCCAACAGAAUAAGUUCACAACUUAAUUGACUUAUUUUAUCAGAAUGGACUCCAUGUAAUCUCGUCGUAUAACUGGAAGCAAUCAAUAACUUUUAAGUGCCCUGGUCUUGCAUUCUCAAGAAAUCAAUAAAAGACUUCCCACGCAGCUCACUUGAAUAAAAUCUUUUCCAGUAAUCUACCACACUUAUUUUUUUAAACAACGCUGGAGUCUUCGAAGUAAUAAGACUUGGUGCUGGACCCAAUUCUCCAUCUAAUUUCGGACUGUAAAAUGUAGCAAAAGAUAACCUUUCCUUCACUGAGUUUACAGUCGCACGAUGCUCGAUACUACGAUAAGUUCCAUUGGUAAAAAUCUAUAAACACAUAAAGUAAAUAAAUUAAACAAUAACAUAAAUAUAUGAAACCAGUUAUCAUCUACAUCUCCCAUCCUAACAACAUCAUUUUUAUCGCAAGCAAGGUGUUCCCAACCCUUUUUUUUUUCUUAUGAAUUCGGUGUUAGAUGACUUUAUUUUCUAUCAUUAUAUCAUUAACACAAAUUAUAUAAUAAUUCUACUCCACUUACAAUGAAGGUCAGAUGUCACAUAACAUUACUAGAGAUACAAACUGCGUAGAAUAUAGCAUUAGUCAUCAUACGCUAUAGAAAAUGACAAGUGUUACCUCUAAAGCGUCACCAAUAUUGACUAUAAAGGCAUCAGGAAGGGGUUUAACUGCAACCCAUUUUCCAUCUUUCUUAAUUUGGAGACCAUCCAUCUCAUUGAUUUGGAGGAGGAUGGUGAGUGCGGCGCCAUCAGAAUGAGGCUUAAAGCCAAGAACUUGCUCUGGUUUCGGACAAGAAGGAUAAUAAUUCAUCCUUAAUGAUUGCCUUCCGUUUCCAAACAACUCUUUCAUAUCAUUGGGAUCCAUUCGUAGAGCUUUGGCCAUUUGGUCAAGGAUUUUCAUUGCAAGAUUUUUAAGUUCUGUCGAGUAAACUUCCAAGUCAUCUCUGCAUGCAAAUAACGAUAUAUAGUCCAGUAAUUAUCAUAAGAUAGAAUAUACCAUAUAGCAAAACUAUACGCUUCAACUAUAGAACCUGAAUGGAAGAGGCAACUUGGGGAACAAGUGGGGUUUCCUCAGAUGAGUUGGGAAAGAGAUCAAAGUAAAGCCAUAUGCCCAAUCAAGUUUCUGCUCUUCAGACGCAAUAAAGAGCUGCCCAAAUCCCUCAAUAUCUCCUGGUUGUUGCCAAAACUUCGUUUUCUCAUCAAUUGGAAGAUUAAAGAAGUCUUGAAUCUCUACUCUCACUUUCUCCACCAAUGAACUGCUCAUUCCAUGAUUCAUCAACUGCAUAUAUGCAAAUUAAAGGAAAAUGUCCUUUCCAUAUACACAUGGUUCAUAAAGGAAAUUUUGAAGUUCAGGAAACAAAAUGAUUUUUAUGGAAAAAGCUAAAGAAACGGAGAGCUGAUAAAAUGCUAACAAAAACAAUGAUAAGUUAGCGUCUGUUUACAGUGUUUACAAUCAAGUGACUAAUCCGGUACUGAUUUACUUUCUUUUUUGUCAACGUUUUGUCUAAUUAUGAUUAUCUGAAUUUCACUGCUAAAUUAUUAUUUACCUGAAAGAAACCCCACUCUUUGCAUGCACGGUCAAGCUUCUCAAGCUCUGAGUCAUCUCCAGAGAGCAACUUGUGCAUGUCAAUGACUGGAAAUUGUUGUGCUGAAGAAUCGUCGUUGCGAAUCAGGGGAUGGUCUAUCUCAGGGCGAACAUAACGUGGAGGAACUGUGAUCAGUGGCUUAUUAUUUGCCAGCUCCAGAAUCGAAGGCACCACGAGAGAACUCCCAAUAGCUGUCGAUUCUGCCUCCAUAUUAUAUAGAUUUGGAUUAUCUGGUUUCUAGCUAUUUCUUUCUUUUUUUUCUCCCUCUCCCCUCCAGACUUAGUUGGGUUGUGUUUUAACAAGAAACUCAUAUAUAAAUAGUCCUUUGGAUGUACUGUGAUCCACUUAGGUGUAAUAAAAUAAUAAUUUUGUUAUAAAAAUUCAAGAAGAUCCUGACUUCUGUCUUGAUAUGAUCACUUGUAGAGCAAAUAAUUUAGGUGUUGAUUAGUAGAUAAUGAAUUAAAAAAAUAAAGAAGUUAAAUUUUAUUCUUACAUUAUCACUAAAUGAUAUAUGACUGGAAAUCUUUAAAACUUCAGUAGAGUUUAGAUUAGGGCUAGAUAAAUAAUCCGAUUCGACCCAACUAAUCCAAAAAACAUCGGGUUCAGUUUGGAUUGAAUUAUUAACCUAAUCCAAUCGGUGGUAGAAACAAACCCGAUUAGAUCGUGAUCGGAUUGGAUUAAACCCAAUCCGCUCUGAAAAUCCAAUCGGGUUGGUCCCUUACCAAAAAAAGAAAAAAUGAGCUAACCUAAUUGAUCAUUUCAAUUUACAAGCACAAAGUACAAACAAGCGAACAUCGUGGUAUCCUUUUCACACACAGAGCACAAUGGCACUUCACACACACAACACAACAUAGGGGCAGCACACCACACAUAGUCACAUACGCAGUGGCAGCCGGCGGCACUCACCAAACAUAGCAUGGCAGACGGCAGUCAUGGCAGAGCAAAGCAGCCCUAAUGCGAUCCGUAACUUGCCUACGCAUUCUGCUGUCAUGUACCACGACUGCUGCUGCUGGUUGAUCCAUUCGCCACCACGAUUGCUGCUGCACUCCGAUCUGCAGCUCUCCACCGCUAAAUGGUUUGCCUUGUAAGAAACCUAAAAGAUUUAAUUUAUCCCUAAGAUAUUGUAUUAAUUUCUUCUUGUUGUACCAUAAAUAUUUGGACUGGGUUUGAGUUUAAUUUUUUUCCAACAAUUCUUUUCUUUGAUCGGCAAAAUUUGAUAUGAUAUAUUAGGUAAAAUUCGAUUAAUCAUCCAAUUGACCUAAAUUUUUUACCCGAAUUUUUUAUUUGAUUCGAUUUGAAUAUAUUCAAAUUGGUUUAAUUCGAUUCAAUCCAAAAAUUAGAUCGGGUUGAUCCAAACUCGAUUUAUAUCCAGCCCUAGUUUAGAUAAAAAGAAGAUCCCAUUCCAUUUAUUAAAGGGUACACCAUUCAACAUUAAGACAAUUGAAAUAAUAUUAGAGUUUAUUUGUUUUUAUAUCUAAAGUCUUAAUUGGGCUUAAUUUAAGAUGUUUUGAUAUUUUGGCUUGUUUGCCUUUGUAUCUGAAAGUUUUAUUAUUAGACAUUUUUAUUUGAAUAAAAAAUAGUAAAAUUUCAGUUUUAUCUGAAUUAAUAAAAUGUUUGAAUGGAAACUCAACUUUUUUUCUCCCAAAUACCCUCAUUAGAUGUAUUUAUUUUCUACUUACCUAUUAGAUGUCAUAUCACAAAUUUUCUUGAUAUCAAAUUUUACUUCGUAUUAAGUACUUAACAUAAAUUCAUUUUGAAUUUAGUUUUUUUUUUAUAAUUAGAUAACAGCUUUUUUAUGUAUAAAUAUUAUGUUAAAUUGUAAAAAUUAAUGUUAUCAAAAUUAUUUUUCAUAAAUUAUAUAUGAGUUACUUCCCUUGUAAAUAUUUAUAACAUAUAAAAACUAUUGUACUAGAAAACACCAUAAAUAUAUAUCUGUUUAAGCUUCAAGUAUAUAUAACACUUUCAAGGUCAUCAGUGUAAAAAUAUUAGAUUUAAAAUGUUUUGAGUUUAAUAAGUACAAACAACUUACCACUUACACCUAGAUGUCAAAAAAUAAAAAAAACAAAUAUAUUAUUUUGACAUAGGCAUUCAGACCCUUUCAAACUUUAGCAACAUUCAUACCUAUUUCAGAUUUAAGAUAAAAGAAAAAAAAAAAAAAAAAAAAGAACACCAACUUAAUGUUGGGCUAUUUGCAAUCUAGAUUUUACUUUGAGUGCCACUUUAUUUUGUACUCUCAUUCUCAUUUAAUAAAUUUUAAAAAUUGAUUUUACUGAGCACAUUCUUUUAAAUACCAAAAUAAUCCUCCAUUUAUAUCUUACAUCUCACCCAAUUUAAUUCUUUACUAAGAAAAUGAGUCUUACCCAAAAUAAUCCUACUAUCACUUGUAUCAUAUCCUAAUGCCAUUAUAGAUUUCACAGUGGAAUAGUAGUCUUAUCCAUGUAGUGUCACAUUGUGUGGUUUAUCUUUAGAUUGGUACUAAUCCCACUAGAUUGGCAUUUUGAAAUAUAAAACCAGGCUGACCACACAAACUUGUGUACUCGAUUUUGUUUGGGUUUUUUCCUCCACGAGUGUUACGUCGUAAAACAGCAAAUUAGAUAUAGACAAAUAUAAAACAAUGAAAAAAAAUAGACAAUUGCGCCUAUCAAGUUCACGUGCCCAAUCAUAAAACUUACGAAACUAUUGGGAUAUUUUAUUGUUGAUCGGUCCGCAUCGUUGGUAGAAAUCACGAAAUUUAGAAGAGGACCAUGGCUUUUCAAAAUGCAUUAUUAAUUUAAGUCCUUUAAAUUUAAAUUCAUUUUUGUUUUAUCCAAGUAAUUGAAUAAGCACUCAUUUGGGAUUACUAUUUUGACUUAAAAAUAAUUUUAAAAUAUCAAAAUUUAAGUUUUGUUUGGUAAUUUUUUUAAAAGUAUUGGUAAAUCUAAUUUUGAGAACAAAUGUUAUACUUAAUACAAUUUUAAAUAUAUUCUUACAUAAAAUCAAAAUUAUUCUUAAUUAAUUAAAAAAUAAAAUAAAAAAUUCAAUAUCACUAUUAUUUUUAUUCAUUUUUUUCUUCAUGCACGCUUUCUACCCCAAUUCUUCUUCUUUUGUUUUUCUAUUCCAUCAAUAAUUCUCUAAUACUGCAAAUAUCAUUCCUGCAAGAUCAUCACUGAGUAUGUGUUUCACGACUUUAUUUUUUAAUUUAUCAAUAUUCAAUAAAAUUUAAGGUAAACAUAUAUGUGUGUGUAAUAAAAUUAAAAGUUCACAACUUAAUAAUUAAUUCACUCAUUUUAUUGGUAUGGACUCCAUAUAAUCUUAUCAUGUAAUUCAAAACAAUCAACAACUUUUAACCGCCUAAUUUUGAAUCCUCAAGAAAUCAAUAAAUGACUUUCCACGCAGCUCGCUUGAAAAGAAUCUUUUCAAGUGAUCUACCACACUUAUCCUCUUAAAUAAUGCUGGAGUCUUUGGAGUAAUAAGACUCAGUGCUGGACCCAAUUCUCCAUCUAAUUUUGGACUGUAAAAUGUACCAAAAGAUAACCUUUCCUUCAUUGAGUUUACAGUCGCACGAUGUUCAAUACUACGAUAAGUUCCAUUGCUAAAAAUCUGCAGGAUCAUAAAUUGAACCAAAAAAAAAAAAAAAUUAACAAGUAUAAUCAAGAAGAGGAAGAAAUUAGAUGAAACUAGUCAUCAACUAUAUAUCCUAUGCUAACAAUUAACUUAGUUUUUAUUGCAAGCGACGCGUCACCAAUUAUUUCUAGAUUCGCAUUUAGUUGACUUUGUUUUCUAUUAUUAAUACAAAUUAUACAAUAAUUCUACUCUACUUACUAAUAAAAGACACGUCAGAUGUCACGUAACAUUAUUAGAGAGAAAAUACUUGGUGAAGAGAAGCACGAGAGAAAGACGAGAGAAAUAAAGAAGAAAAUGGUAGAGAGAGAGUGAGUGGGUAGAGAGAGAGGACAAAAUUCUCUCAUCUUUCUCUCCUUCUUCACCUAGCACUGCUCUUACUAGAGAUACAAACUACGUAGAGACAUAGCGUUACUUAUCAUAGGCUGUAGAGAAAGACAAGUGUUACCUCUAAAACGUCACCAACGUUGACUAUAAAGGCAUCAGGAAGGGGCUUAACAGCAAACCAUUUUCCAUCUUUCUUAAUUUGGAGACCAUCCAUCUCAUUGAUUUGGAGGAGGAUGGUGAGCACGGAGCCAUCAGAAUGAGGCUUAAAGCCGAGAACUUGCUCUGGUUGCGGACAAGGAGGAUAAUAAUUCAUCCUUAAUGAUUGCAUCCCGUUUUCAAACAGCUCUUUCAUGUCAUUGGGAUCCAUUCUUAGAGCUUUAGCCAUUAGGUCAAGGAUUUUCAAGGUAAGAUUUUUAAGUUCCGUUAAGUAAACUUCCAAGUCAUCUCUGCAUGCAAAUAAUAAUAUAUAGUCCAGUAAUUAUCAUAAGAUAGAAUAUUCUAUAUAAGAAAAGUCUAAAAUUUAAGUAUAGAACCUGAAUGGAAGAGGCAACUUGGGGAACAAGUGGGGUUUCCUCAGAUGGGUUGGGAGAGUGAACAUAGUAAAGCCGUAUCCCCAAUCAAGCUUCUGCUCUUCAGACGUAAUAAAAAGCUGCCCAAAUCCCUCAAUAUCUCCUGGCUGCUGCCAAAACUUCUUUUUCUCAUCAAUUGGAAGAUUAAAGAAUUCUUGAAUCUCUGCUUUCACUUUCUCCACCAAUGAACUGCUCACUCCAUGAUUCAUCAACUGCAUAUAUGCAAAUUAAAGCAAGAUGUUCUUUCCAUAUAUACAUGGUUCAUAAAGGAAAUUUUGAAGUUCUGGAAACAAAUUGAUUUUUAUGGAAAAAGCUAAAGAAACGGAGAGCUGAUAAAAUGCUGACAAAAACAACGAUAAAUCAGUGUCUGUUUAAUGGGUUUACAAUCAAGUGACUAAUCCGGUACUGAUUUACUUUGUUUUUUGUAAACGUUUUGUCUAAUUUUUAUUAUCUGAAUAUCACUGCUAAAUUGUUAUGUACCUGAAAGAAACCCCAGUCUUUACAUGCAUGGUUCAUAUAGGAAACUUAAAGCUCAGGAAGUAAAAUUAUUUUUAUGGAAAAUGUAAAAACACUGAGACCUGAAAAAACGCUAACCAAAGCAAUGAUUUGCAAUCAAUUAAGUAUUUUUAUUAUAUGAAUAUCACUGCUCAAUUAUUAUGUACCUGAAAGAAACCCCACUCUUUACAUGCAUGGUCAAGCUUCUCAAGCUCUGAGUCAUCCCCAGAGAGCAACGUGUGCAUGUCAAUGACUGGAAGUUGUUGUGCUGAAUAAUCGUCGUUGCGAAUCAAGGGAUGGUCUAUCUCAGGGAGAACAUAACGUGGCGGAACAGUUGUCAGUGGCAGAUUAUUUGCCAGCUCCAGAAUCGAAGGCUCCACGAGAGAAUUCCCAAUAACUGUUGCUUUUGCCUCCAUGUUAUAUAGAUUUAGAUUAACUGAUUUCUAGCUAUUACCUUUUU
rnacentral:lncRNA from 1 species